GAGAAAAAUAAUAGUUUAGGCAACUAAGCUUUUGUUGCUAUUGUUGAUUAUUUUUCCCUCUCUAAAUUGUACUCAAUUUGUAUCCCUUUUAUAUUCUUGAGUGUGUGAGCUUGGGUAUAUUUGGGGCUUGGGUUUUCUGAGUGGUUAAACACUAUUGUAUUCUCUCAUUGAUUAUAGUGGAAUACUCCGUCGUCUCCAAACUGGAUGUAGGCAAUUGCCGAACCAGUAUAAAUCUUGGUGUUGUUCUUGUUGAUUAUUUUUUGUUCUAUUUUUCUCCUGCCUGUUGUUAUUUAUUUUUCACUCGCAGUUGGUUGACGCUUCCGCACAACACUGCGCUUCCCAUUCGAGUAUACCAUUCGCCAAUGGACGUGUUCUGGAUCACGUCUUUGCCAGAUAUAAGGCCCUCAAUGGUGCACAAAACGCCAUAUCAGCUAAAUUAGAGUUUGAGCCACCAAGAAAUGGCCCGUCGUUUAGAGCAUCCACCCAUGUUUCAGCAGCUUCAUACAAGGCUGCACGCUCGUCGCCGAUAUUGUGCUUCUCCUUGAGUUUCUUUGAAUCAAAAUACAUAGAUGCACCUCCAGUAUACUUUUUGAUUAUCCUCACAUACAAACUCUGAUUUGUACCACUUUGCAAAACCCAAGCGAAGGUGUCGUAUAGCAGUGAUGCACACACACUUUGAUGAAAUUGAAUAAUGUUAUUGGUCCUUUAUAAAGAGAAUUCCAAUCCCACUUAAAUAAGGAAUUUCCAAAACCCAAUUGAAUAAAGAUAACUCCCAUUUAAAACCCAAUUAGUAAGAAAUUAUAGAAAUUGGAAAGUCCAAGAGAAAUGGCCCAGCAGCUUCCCUAUUUUUUUAAAGCCUGGUCCAAAACAACGUGGUUUUGGCCAGGCUGUGUUAAAAAAAAAACAAGAGCGCAGCGCCCAGUUUGGUUUGGGCAUUUCGUCGAGCAUAUUGCGUGUGUCUCUGGUUUGAAGCAAAGGUGCAACUCCAGCUGCUCUAAUGGAUUUUUCUGGCAACCAAAGGUGCAGUGCACCUCUUUGCACCUGCACAGGUCCGCCGCUGAGUGUAGCUCAAAAGUCCGAGUGUCGUAUCCACAGAGAGCAGUGUAAAGAAAAUAACAGAGUUGAGACAGAACAAUUAAGAUUGAGAAGUAGAUUUAUGCAAGAUUUGAUUUAAAGAAAAUUCAAUUGAUUAAAACACUAAGGCAUUGGGGUUCCACUUUUAACAUAAGCAUGCAACUCUUAUCAAUUUGAUCCACAAAAUAUUUUCCAUUGUAGUUGUUAAACAUAAUUAAAGCUAUUUUUAAUUUCCUUUAGAUCUAAGCAUAACUUGUACCAUUGACAAUAAACUAUCCAAAAAAAAUCUUCGUCGAAAUUCUAAUAAUCUUAGUAAUUAUCUCAUCUUUUAAAAGUAUGAAAGUUUUUACUACACAACGGGAAAAACAUGAUUGAACCCAUGAAAUAGAUUAUCAACCAUUCAUCAAUUAAUUAAAAAGAAAAACUACAAAUUCAUAUUAAAGCUUAAGUUAGGAUCAAACUAAUAAAAAUAACAUACUCAUAUUAAAAGCUUUCCCCCUAGCCUUAGCUAGGGAGUUAGUUUCCCAUAAUAUAAAACUAAAACAUAAAUUUAGAACUAGAAGAAUUGGAGGAAGGAGAGAGAGCUCAAGAGAAGAUUGUGAGCUUGGUGUGUGUUUUGAAGCUUGAAGACUUCUCUAUUUAUAGGCUAAGAAGGAGAAACAUCAUGAUGGAUUCCAACACCAUCAUUCCUAUUUUAGUGCAAUACCUAACUCCCACUUCAUCUUGCCUAUGUUAGUGUGGUUGGAAUCAAUUCCAUUGUUGAAUUGUUUUCUCUUGUUCUUCCUUUCCUUGUGGAUUUCAUCCUCUUUUAGAUAAGAUGCAUUGAAUUUGAGCUUCUUUGGAGUGGAUGACACCUUACAAGCAUGUGAAUUCAAUUUCUUCUUGUUUUCUUUCCAUCCCAUACUUCUUUUCCUUUCUUCUUUUGGCAUGGGUGAGGCACUUCAUGCAUUCUUUUGAAUUCUUUUCUUCUUGUGCUAGUUGCACUUCUUCCCUCAUCAUCAUUGCUUCAUGGAUAUGUUGAAGUUCUUUAAUCGGCCACUAGCAUAUUAUCUUUGGGUGGCACACUUUGGCAUACAAAUUGAGUUGGUUUUCACAACACACAAGCCUACAAAGGAAGUCAUUGAUCAAAGUUAAUAAAAUGACAUUAAACCAAUUUGACCAAGUAAAAAUAUAAAUGCAUAAGAUUAUUUAAUUACUCAUUAUAAUUGCUUUCAAAGAUAAAUGUUAAGGGAAAUUUCCCAAUGAUUUUCUUUCACAGUUUUGAACACCCAGCUUUAGAUGAUCAAACCUGGCUCUGAGGCCAUGUUAGUGUUGUAAGUGUUUGAUUAAGAAAUCACAGAAGAAAGGAAGGAGAAUAAGCAAGAAGAAUUACAUAAUACUGCUCCGCUAUACGUGUAGCAGAGAGAAUGUUCAUUCCAUUAAGUCUUUCUCUCUCUUACAACCUCACGCAUUUAGAGUGAGGGAAUAUUACCGUUAGGCAUAGUAGCUGGAUCCCUUAUAUCACAAGGUGAUCUCAGCCAUUCAACUAGACAUACAAUGAGAUCCUUACACCUGACUUAUAAAACUUAAAGAAACGAAAUGCUAAAUUAGCUAACUCUUAAGUCAGCUUAAAACUUAUAAUUCAACACAUUUGGCAAAGAGAAAUUGAAAACUAGGGACUUUCUUUCAUAGCAACGAAGGAUUAAAUCAUCUUACAUCAUAGCUUAAUUCUCUAAAAAGAGCAACAACAAAAGAGCAAGCAUUCAUAUUCCAGAUUAGAAUCAUAGAUAGGGCAUUAAGUUUACUAGGCCUCAUCAUUUGGUCCGCAGUCUGCAACUUUAUUUUUUUAUUUUUGGAUAAAACUAUAGUUUUAUACUCAAAACACAAUUUCAACAGUGGCCAUUCUCCUAGUCCUGCUCAGACUAUAGGAGCCUGUGUUUAUGUAAAAGACGAACUUUUGUGACAAUUUUAAAGGGAGGUUUUUGGGUUUAUGAAGAAGACUUCUUGACAGAUUACAGGGCAUCCUGCUGACUCUUUGUAAAAAAAUUGUCAACUUAUAGAAGGAGCUUUGUGCAUAAUACAACAAAAUUCUGUAACAGCAAGAAUUCUUUUGGCUCCAAAAAUCCAGAAAUACAUGCCUUAGGAAGAAUACCAAGUCUGUUCAUUUAUCUACUGUUGUUGACAGAAGAAGAAAUAAAUUAGAGGGGGGGUGGGGGAGACCAAGAGGCCCAAACCCACAACCAACCGAAUGUGGUCGGAAUGCCACUAUGCAGAACCGGCAUCGAACCGACUGUCAAUUGAACUGAUUUUCUUGAAUAUAAAGUUGGUUUGAUAAAUGCCAAGUUAAGUACUUCUCGGUUUUGUCACCACAUCCCACUGCUCUUUCCAUUUGAAUAUACCAUUCACCAAUGGACAUGUUCUGGAUCAUGUCUUUGCCAGAUUUAAGGUGCUCAAUGGUGCGCAAAACACCAUAUACAGAAAGAUCACUAAGUUAAGGUUUGAUCCACCAAGAAAUGGCCGGCCUUUGAGAGCCUCCGCCCAAGUUUCAGCAGCUUCAUACAAGGCUGCACGUACGCUCGUCGGCAAUAUUGAGCUUCUUCUUGAGUUUCUUCGACAAAAAAUACAUUGCUGUAGCUCCACCCUACUUUUGCUGUAGCUCCACCAUACUUUUUGAUUUCCUCGCAAAGAAACCGAAAUGAUACUUUGGGGUGAUAUGACUCAAGAGCCUCCCGAGCAAUUCGAUACAUGUUUAGUUUCAAAACAGGCACCAAGUCCUUAUCCACCCACUCACGCCACUUGUUUUCUUCCACCAACUUUGCAUUGUCAAUUCUCCAAAACCCCUUACACUUAACCUAAGAAAUUAACACUAGCUAUUUUCCUGUGAACUGAAGUGACAUGAAGAAAUCAUUCCGCACAAGAAGAAUUGGAUAUGAUUGCAGAAGGUAAAAAAGAGAUCAACCUCAAUUGUGCUAUGGUGAAUAAUAUGUAGUGAACUGUAGGGCACAUGAACAUGCUUUCUUGCUUCUAUGGCGAGCAAAACAGUUGUUAUUAACAAAUAAAACUAUAUAUAAAAAAAUACCUGCCUGCGUACAGUUCGCUUCAUAAGCCUACAUUACGAUCAGGUUGUUGGCGAAUUGAUACUGGAAUUUCUUAAAUCUUAAAUUCACUGUAAUGUUUUGAUGGUAAUAAUAAGUGACUUUGAAAAAUAAGCUUUAGGGCAUCAUUUCCUUUUUAUGAACCGGUUUUGCAAGGACAAGUUGUACGAAAAGAUUCUUAUUUAAUUUUAAAAUAAUCCCUACAUGACAAGGGAAUUUUAUUCAAUAUAAAAUAAAGAGGUACAUUUAGCCGGGGGAUAUAAUGAGCCUUACCCCUUUUUGCAAGCCGAACCCUAGUUCCCUCGAGUAAGAACUCAUGGGUUUAUUAUUGAUUCAUCUUAAAAAGCAAAGGAGGAAAUCCAACCAAGAUCUUCGGUUGGAACUUGGAAUCUUGAAUACUAUGAAUAGCCUUCUCCAAUCGGUAUCAGACCGAAUUUUCUCGCUGGAUUUGAAGGCCCACAUACCUGGCAAAAACACAAAUUUGAAGGAAUAUACAAAAAGAGCAAUGGGACACAGUAGAAAGCCAUAUUCAACCAAAUAAGAAUUAGGGAUUGAGAAUCUCUAGUGGUUGCGAGUAUACCUUCCUAACAUCAUAUAGAAGCCCAUAGGAUGGCUAUUUGGUUCGUAAGGGAAUGUGGAGGCAUCAACCACGCGUAAUGCUUUGAUCCCCGUAACACGGAAUCUAUCAUCAAGCACCUUUCCGACAAGGCUUCCACCGUGGUAAUGCCAGUAUGUGGCGAAAUUAUCUCGACAAAAUCUUUGGAAGGCUUUAUCAUCAUUUUGGUUCUUUGGUAAAGGUGCUCCCAAAUAAUUGAAACCUUCAAUUCCCGGCACAUUUCGAGCUUUAUAUGGUCUUAAUGUCUUUGUCCUUAAGACCUCACCAAGCUUCUUCAUGCCUUUAACACAAAGAGCAAGGUCCGUGGGAUUUGAAAAGUAAUUGAAUCUAACAUUUGGAGGAAUUUUCACGUUAAAUGACGAUUUUAGCGUGACAGAACCAUAAGACAAAGGUCCUGGAACUUGGCUAACAAUAUGAGCAAAAGUCGAAUUUGGGAGGGGGUAAGAUGCAGGAAAAAGACUGUAGGCUGGUUUCUCAAGUGGCAAGCUCGAGAGAGAAAUUUGGUAAUACUCACUUCUAACGCCUAUAACAGUUACAAUUGAGGCUUCGAUUGGAUAUGGGGGCAAAAUGUUAAUGAAAUUACGAGGAUUGUCGUACACAAACUGCCCAACGUGAGGAUGGUGACGAACAACUGGGAUUCUCUGCGAUAAUAGCUGAGAUUUUGGGCCAACACCACUAAGUAGUAGAAGAUGAGCCGUCCCUAUUGUCCCUGCACUCAAUAUAACUUCUCCCUUACCGAGUACAAAUGCCCGAUGAGGCCUUCCGUAAGAAUCCCUAUAUAUGACUCCUAUAGCUGACAAGCCUGCAUUAGACCAAUAGCUUAUAGUUUAUUAUCAAACAAAUCAAAAGGAAAUAAUAAGGAAAAAUUUUAUUCUUAUUCACACUUCCAUCAUCAUCUGACUUGAACAUACUUGAUUUAUUGGAAGAGAAGAGGAUCUUCUCUACUGAGGCAUGCACUGCAACUCUCAAGUUUUUGGGGUUUCCUUUACUAAGCAGUUCAUCAGAUGCAUGUCUCGUUCCAUUAUUGUCAAAAAUUGAGCCGGUAAGUCUAGUUCCCUCUUUGUGAUCCAAACUAAAUCCAUUGUCUGGAAGAAAACCAGCCUCCAAAUAUGCCUUUCCUAUAACAGAUUGCCAAGACUGUGAUUUUGGCCUGACCACAAGACUGUCCUCAACCCACUGAUAUGCUUUGUUAACCAAAUUCAAGUCCCAAUUAACUCCUGAUUCACUAUAGAAUGACGCGUUAGCUCUGGCGUAGGUGCCAGCAGAUAUGGUGCUGGUGCCGCCGAGGACCCUGCCUCUUACAUUAUCAAUACCAUCUAGGGACACGAACCUUUCGACUGGUGUCUUUCCAUCAUCUUCCUGCUGCAGAUUAGCUGCAAACCCGGAUGAAGUCGACGUGUUGGGAUAGUCUAUGGGAAGACUGCCCCUUUCGAGAAGGAGCACCUUGUAAUUUGCUGAUAAAGUUGCUGCCAAUGGACACCCUGAUGUUCCUCCACCAACUACAAUGUAGUCAUAUGACCCUUCCAACCUUCGAUCAGUGGCGUUGUAAACAUAUUUCAAGUAGCGAAAAUCUGCAAAAUGUGAGAGAGAUGAAGAUUAUUGUUUUGAAGUAUAUACAUGAACAAGUGUUUGCAUUGAUAAUAUAAAGCACAUGCACUUCUUUUUUCGAGUUUGGGAGGAAGUAAUUUACCAUGAGGAUGAGAAUUGGCAAGCGAGUGAACCCCUGAAUAUUGAAGAUGAACGAAAAGAAGGUGCAACGCCAAUAGUAUAGCUGACAUUGUUGAUUUCUCCAUGUUUUUGAAGCCAGAUAUACUUUUUUGGUUGUUAACGCUCGUUAGAGAACAUUGUCUAUAUAUAGACGGUUGUUCAUUAAAGGAACCUUAAGAUAGUUUUCAAAAAUACCUUAAAUGCCCCUCAAUGUCAAUAAACCUACAACUUCGUUUUCAGAGAUCAAGACAGUACAAAUAAUUUAUUCAAUAAAUUUUCACAAAAAUAAUUUAUUUAAUAAAAUAAAAAAAGAAACUAAUUAAGAAGAGAGAAUUAUUUCUCCACCCAAUAAGAAAAAAAUAAUUCACCUUUCAUUUCUGUCCCUACUAAUUGUGGUAGACUCUUUACUGUUAUUGCCUCCACCCUAUAUUGAUAGACUUAAAACUGAGUUAGGUAACAAUACCUAACCUCUAUUAAUUCUCUUAUUUUGUCAUUCAUUUUAUAUUAUAUUUUAAUAUUUUGGCACCAUGUGCAAAGAAUACACAUAACAGUUUUAUGCUUUCAAUUUUAGUUUCUAUAAUUUGGGCUAAAUUAUACUUUAGUCUCUGUAGUUUUAAGGUUUAAUUACACCAAUACUCUUUGAAUAUAUUUUUUCUGAUUUAUUUUAAUUAUUAGAAUAUUUAAUUAUAUUUUUAUCUAUAUGGAGGUGGGCUCCACUUGCCACAUCACCCACUCAAUUGGUGGAUUCUGAUCUAUGUGCACGAAAUUACAAAAACACUCCUGCCACGUCAUCAAAGUUAAUAGAUUUUUGGAUGGAGUUGACGGCAUGAGGCAAAGUGGGUCAGCAAACCUCGAUCAAUGGAUGAAAGUAGGCUAUUUUGAGUUUAAGGGGGUAAAGUAAGAUUUGACCGAAGUUUCAAAUGGAAUUGAUGUAAUUAAACCUAGUUUCAAUUUUAGUCAUUUUGCCAUUAUAAUUUGUUAAUCAUUGCGAAUCAAGUACACAUCACAAUUACGUUAAUUGACGGAAGUUGAGUUUUCAGUCUUUUGACAUAUUAUAAUGUCAAAAUCUUUUAAGAAAUGUAAAAUUAAGAAAUUAAAAGCUAAAACAGCCCGGCAAGGGGUAAAAAACAACCAAAUUAAAGUUUUGCGAUGCAGCAAUGGCAGCAAGCUAGCUUUGGCGCUCUCUGUAUUGAAGGGUUUAUCAUCUAUUCAGAUGUUUCAUGGUCUAAUUUGAUCGUGGAAGUCCUCUCCAACACAAAACAAAUUGAUCUGAAAAUUCUUAAGCCUAUGUUUUUCAAAGUUCUUACAAAUGGGCACCUAGUUGGGCUAUGCAAAAAUUUUGAUUUUAGAAAAAGCAGAAGACUGAAAUAAGUGAAAUUUGGCCUUUAUCCAAUUGACUAGUUAGACAUUGGCUUACCUACCUAAUGACAAGUGCAGGCAAUGCCCACACUUGCAAAAAAAAAAUUAUGAAGAUGCUUAAGACUAUUAACCAUGUUUUAGCCCCUGCAUGGCCCACUGUCACACAGCCUUCAAAGUUUUAGCCCAAAACCCUAUAUUAAAUUUUUAAAAAAUAAAUUAUUUGUUAUAAUAUAAUUAAAUUAUAUAGAUAUAUUAUCGAAUGAGAUACCAGUGGAUACAUGACUGUUUGGUACAAAUGUCAAUUUACUUAUUGAAAAAUGUUAUUACUAUUCAAAGUUUGAAAGAUAUAUUGACUGAAAUUUUGUUUUUAACGCCUCCUCACAUGGAGAAAAAAAAGAAGAACUUAUCUCGUUUAUAUCGCCUAAUCUUUUUACUUUAAAUUAUUUAAAAUUUCCCCACCUAAAUUUUUCCUUCUUAAAUUUGUAUAUAUGUACUCAAUUAAUUUCUUUUAACAGAUGUUAGAGGCCUAAUCACCCCCACCUAAAUUUUUUACCCCACCCCUCAAGUUAGCAUGGCGCCCCACCUCUUUUACUUAAUUUCAUCACCUAAUUUCUUGGCUUAUUUAUGUAUAUAGGGCCUCUAUGCAGUCAAAGUAAUCUCAUAUUACCACUUGUUCUUUAAAACAUGUCUCAAUAUACCACUUAUAUUUUCAAUAAGUGUCUUACGUUAACUAUUCUGUUAGAUUUGAAAGAAGUUCCGUUAGCUGAUGUGGCACCAGGUAGCUCGUCAUCUAAAUGUGGCAGUUUGCCAACCACACCACACAUAAUUACUUAAUUUUGUUACGUAAUAUCCCCACCUUUUCGCAAUAGCAAGGCAGCCCCCAGUAGGUGGGUGGAACAUCACAAAGUCACACAUUGAAAAACUUGUCACGUAAUCUUACCACCUAAGGAGGUGAAAAGUCACCUAAUUUAUUGAGAAACUUAAUGGUCUGUUUUUAUCAAAGAAUCAUGAGGUGGAUUGUGUUGGCGAGUCCUUAUUUCAUUAGAAUUUUGGUUACUUACCAAUUAUAUUUUAUCCUAUUGUAAUAGAGAUUAUUUUAUUUAGUGUUAUGGGGGUUGAUGAUUUUUUCAACCCUCAUAGAGGUAGCACCACCGACUCAUUCUCUCAUUCUCCACCAACCAUCGUUGAGUUGAGUGCCCAGAUGGCUCCGCUCCUACAGAUGCAGACUUUGACCCCGAACCCGAUCCAGAAUCAGGAUCCUCUUUUGACGACCCCGACCCCGACCCCGACUAUGAUGACGACCACCCAGACCCCGAUCCCGACUAUGACGACGACGACCUCGACCCCGACCCCGACCCCGACUCCGAAGACGACCCCGACCCCGACCCCGACUCUGAAGACGACCCCGACCCCCACUCCGAUGAUGACCCCAACCCCGAAUUUGUCUCUGAUUCAGACCCUGAUCCCGAUUUCGACUCCGACUCCGGCCUUGACUCAGGCUCAGAUUCCGAUCCUAAUUCCUACUCAACCUGUAUCCUAUGCAUCUUCCGCUGCACAUAUUAUGACUUCUCAACUAACGACCCCGACAUAUGGACCAGAUUGAGCAUUUUGUGAAAUCCGAGGAUCAAUUGGUGGAUAUUUUGACAAAGGCGAUUUCCAGUAAAGCAUUCCACAAUUCACUAGAUCAGUUGGGCAUUGGCGACAUCUAUGCACCAACUGAGGGGGAGUGUUGGCGUGACUUGUGGAUAUUGACUUACUUUCCUUACACACCAAGAAUUCCUAUUAUAAUUGUAAUUGAUUUACUUUAAUUUCUGAUUUCCUACUGCAAAUAGAUUUAGGAAUUUAUUAUUUACUUGCUUAUUUAGGUUUCGUUGUAUUAUAAAUAUGACCUCCUACAAGGAGAAGAAUACACAGAAAAUUCCCACAAACAAAUAUUCUCUCAAUAGUUUUAAUAUUUUAGCAGAUUGUUACACAAGGUGGUGGUGGCACUAUUUCUUGUUUUGCCUUACUUACGACCCGUUUGGAUCCAAGGAUUUGGAUUGAAGCCCAUUCAGUUCAAAUCUAUGUAUUUCAAAUAAAGAUGCAUUGUAUAAGCGAUAGUCUAAACUAGAGAAGAGAGUGAUUUCUUUCACACACAUAAAUGAUGACAUGGAGGUUCGAACCUGAGACCUCUUGUCUACAAAUCAAUGUCCUUUUUCACUAGACUAGAUCCCGUUGGCAAAACAAAUUUAAGCUAUGAAUAUUUCAAUUUCAGAUUUUAAACAAUAAUUUAAAAGACACCAUCUGGACUCACGUACCCAAACAAAACACAAAGAUAAGCAUCUCAUGAAUCACGUUUCAACACUGAUAUGUAGCUUUAUUAGUUAGCUCUCUACAGUAACUUUCAGAGAUCUGUGACAGUCAAGAAGUGUACCACUGUGCAUUGACUCCUCCUAUGUGAAUCGAAUCGGCAACAACAUGAUGAAGUCCAGCAAAGUAUAUAACUUUCUUGUAUAAAUAAUAAACAAUGAUACAAAGGCAUUUAGAAUCAUAGAAUCGAAAAAUAUUUUUAUCUAGAGUAUACGUAACUGUUUUUAGACAAGAAGCACAAGGAACUUUACAGGAGAACAAAGUGAUAACUUGAUAUGUAAUUAUUCCAGCGCAUUUUUCAGGAAUCACAUUGCAUGAGUGAGUGUAUACCAUAUGGAGAGAAACUGAUCUUGCAUCUUCAAGUCCACAACUGAGCUAGCACAAGCAUGCGUUGCACGAUUGUGCUUUUGAUUGCUUUUGGGUACAAGCAAGGGGUUUUUAUCGCUUGGAACAAGCAAUGCCUUCCUUCUCGGAAAAUAUAUAUUAGGAAGCACCCCUUUAUGGAAAGUAGGAUAAAGAAUAGGGAGCUUCACUAAUAUACCCAAAAUAGGGGCUGAAAUUAUAAAAAAACCCCACAUUGAUUGCACUUUAGAAACACACCCAAAACUCAUUUACUACAUAAAAAAUUAGUGUUUAAGUUCUUAUAAAUUACAUGACUGCCAUUGAUCAAUUUAAAAAAGAAGACCAACACAAAAAACUUAAAUAGCACCCAAAACAAGCCCAACCCAAUUUUAUAAAAAAACCCAAACAAUUCAUUACAAACAAAAGGUCUUGAAAACCGUAGUUUCAUUAACGUGUCAUGUUAAUUAAUCAUUGUAAUGUUCUACACCUUUAUUGUCAUGUUGAUUAAUUGUUGUAAUGUUCCAGUGUAGAGUAAUAACACUGCUAAUUUCCUAUAACAUCCUAUUUCUAAUGCAUGUUUACCCCUGUACUGUUCCAGUAUAGGGUAAUAACACUGCUAGUUUCCUAUGAUAUCCUAUUUCUAAUGCAUGUCUACCCAUGUAAUGUUUCAGUCUAAGGUAAUAACAUUGCUAGUUUAUUGUCAUGUUGAUUAAUGGCUGAUGUUCCAAUCUAGGGUAAUAAUAUUGCUAGUUUAUUGUCAUGCUGAUUAAUGGUUGUAAUGUUCUAGUUUAGGGUAAUAACAAUACUAGUUUCAUAUGACAUUCUAUCUCUAAUGCAUGUUUACUCUUGUAAUGUUCCAGUCUAGGGUAAUAACACUGCUCGUUUCCUAUGAUAUUCUAUUUCUAAUGCAUAUCUACCCCUAUAAUAUUCUAGUCUAGGGUAAUAGCACUGCUAUUUCCUAUGACAUCCUAUUUCUAAUGCAUGUUUACCCCUGUAAUGUUCUAGUCUAGGGUAAUAACACUGCUAGUUUACUGUCAUGUUGAUUAAUGUUUAUCAUGUUGCUAUUUCUAAUACAUGUCCACCAAAGAAAAGAUGAAGAAAGAACAAACCAGACCAACUCAAAACAAGCUGAGCCCAGAUUGUUAAUACUAUUAUGUCAUAGAAGUAUAUUGUUAAUACUCUGUCAUAGAAGUACAUUGUUAAUACCCUAUCACAGAAGUACAUUGUUAAACAAAAAUGAGAUUCAUAACUGAAAUAGUAACAAAAGUUGAAUCGAUCAUCAAAACUUCAAAUACAUUUCGAAAAUCAACUAAAAUCCGAAGAGAAACACAUAAUUGAAGCAAAAGAUCAAAAAUCUCAAGUACAAACCAAACGACGACGACGACGACGACGACGAUAACAACGACAAUGAUGUGGCGAAAGAGGAGUAGAGCUCGAAGAUGAGGAGUAGAGCUAAAAGCAUCUGAUCGAGGUUUUUUCAAGGUCUUGAACAAUCCGAAAAAAGAAAAAAUCAAUAGAAGCACGAUUUUAGAACAAGAAAUUGAAGGUGAAAUAUUGAAAAUUGUAGAUUAAAGAUGAAUAAUAUAGUUGGACCUGAGACUGAGCUUCAAUGGAAGCUCCUCUUGCUCCAACACCAGAGAAAACACCAGCGAGAAAGGAGAAAAUAAAUAUGAUUUGAUUUUUUGGCAGAUUUGGUUUUUUUUGGCAGAUUUGGUUUUUUGGCAGACAUGGAAAUAUUUGGUUUUAUGGCAGAUCUGGGCAGAUCUGAUUUUCCUCUCUUAAAUCCAUAGUACAAGGACAAUAUAGGUAUUUAACACACACAAAUAAACUAAAAAACAACUAUUAAAUUAAAAAAAAUUGAUAGCUGUCAAUUUUUGGAUUUUUUUUGGAUGUGUUUAUAGUUUUUAAACGGUGUAGGGUUUCUUUAUAAAACCAUGUCUAAGAUUGGGUAUAUAACUAAAUUUCUAUAAAGAAUAAGCUCAUUACUCCUUGGGAUAAUCUUUUGUCUGCCUUUUUUUCUUUUCUGUUCUUUUGUUUUUUUUUAAAAGUUAGUUUAAACGGUCUAAUAAGAUACUUAAUCAAAGUUCGUUAAUUGGACAGAAUUAAUCUUUACUCCAUCAGCACACCAUGACAAAUGAAAAUUAAAAACUAUGAUUAUCAAAUCGAUCCUUACUUUUUGAAUGGUUGAUCUUUGAAGGAAAACUAAAAGAAGAAAAAUGGCCCUUGACUUUCAUAUUAGAGAUCUCAUGUUUAAAUUCCCAUGACAUCAUUUGUGUGUUUGUAAAAAAUCUAUCUCCCCUAUAGACUAUCGCUUGUACUAAAAUAUAUAUACAUAAAAAGGGGAUGUUUAGAUAUAUAAUAAUUAUCUCGAGUGGUAUCACAAACUUGAAAGGUUUGCUAUAUAUAUAUAUAUCGCAUCACUCAUACACUAGCUAGAGAAGGGCAGACAUGGGUACAGAGGUUGAAUCCCAAAAUGCCACGGUUUCACAGGAGAAAAUGAGCAAUAGCCUGUUCGAAAACGCCAUGAACGGCGAGUGGGAAAAAGUUGUGGAGGUCUAUGGAUCAUCACAGAGCGCAAAAGUUCAAGAGAUGAGGAUCACCAGAGCGGGGGACACUGCUCUACAUAUCGCUGCUUCGGAUGGCGAAACAAAAAUUGUGCGGCAGUUGUUACAGCUCAUCGGAAACAAUGCAUCCAAGAUAUUGCAAAUAAAAAACAAGAAAGGCAACACACCUCUCCAUUUAGCUGCUGUAGUGGGGGAUGUGGAAACGUGUCAUGCAAUGGCCACCAAAGACCCCGAACUCGUGUCGUCUCUCAACAAUGAGAAUGAGACUCCUCUCUUCUUGGCAGCUCUUAAUGGGCAUGAGAAGGUUUUUCUUUGCCUUCAUAGUCACUGUGUAGAAGAAUGCUAUUCAUUUAGAGCAAGAAAUGGUGAUACCAUUCUCCAUGCAGCUAUGUCCGGUGAAUACUUCAGUAAGUGUGUGGCCUACCCGCUUCUUAAAGAGUGUUGUUAUUUGUACCAUCAUAUUUUUUUUGGACGAAUUUGUAUCAUUAUAUUGUUAAUUAUAUCUCUAAUAUAAGUGGAUCUCAUAUACAUUGAUAGGGUUCACUUCGAUAAAAUGAGCAAUAAGUAUGGCACAAAUAGUAUUAUUAUUACUUCUUAUAUAUAUAUAUAUAUAUUAAUAUCAUUUUUUAUUAUUAAUAUCCUUUUUAAAUAUAUAGGUUUGGCAUUCCAGAUCAUUCUGUGGUACCCAGAACUUGUCAAUUAUAUUAAUCAGAGUGGCUUCUCUCCCCUGCAUAUUCUAGCCAAUACUCCAUCAGCAUUCAAAAGCAGUAGCCGCCUUAGACCGUUGGAUCGUCUCAUAUACCAAUGUAAGAUUACCGCUAUCGAUUUUAUUUUUUUAUUUUUUGGUCUAUGAUCAAGCUUUUGGAUGUUUAAUUCAUGUAAUACAAUGCUAAUGCAUUUGCACUUGGCAGUUUCAUGUCUCACUUGGUAAUUACUGGCUAGGCUUACUUGGGACAAAAUUAUUUAAAAAGAGAACUAUGAUGAUAUGACCUUUAUAAGUAUGUAUACAUCAUACAUGUACCCAGUGGCGGACUCAAACUUUUUUUCAUCUGGGGGCAUAAAAAACAAUUUCAUAGCUGACUCCUACAAAGUCUAGGUUUUCAUAGCAAUACGACAUUAUAUUAUAACACAUAAUCUAUUUCAAUAAAUUUUUAAUAUAUGAUUUUGGGCCAAAAUCUAAGGCUUUAUAUAUUGGACCAUAUGUUUAUUAAGUCUUGGACUUUGAAGGCUUUACUUAUUUAGGGUGCUGAGUGGGGAUUUUGCAUGCAAAAUAUUAGCCAAGUGUCUAAUUUUUAUUGGCAAAGUGUUUGGCUAGAUGGGUGAAGAAACCACCUAAGUGUGGGUAGCUGCCCACAGUAGGCAUGUAUUGGGUCCGCCAGUGCAUGUACCUGCUUUUUAAAGAGAAAAUAAAAAAUAUAUAUAGUUGUUUGAUCAUACAAUCAGUAAAUCUAAUAGCAGAGUUAGAAUUGUAAAAUUGAGAGAGCCGAAAUAGAAAAUAUAAGUAUACUCUAUAUCUUGCAACUGUACUUCUGUCCAAAUAAGUUUUUACAUUUCAUUUAUCAGGUUUGAUUGUUGAAGAGCUAAAAGGGGGAAAAGAGGACAAAAAGAGUAUUUGUCCCCUCGAGAAAAGAGGAAGAAGUAUCAUCGAUACGGGUUCUGAAUCUCAUCAAGCAUUAAGUGAGUGCUCGUCACUUAUCCAAUUUAUACGUUGCUUUUUCGUCACCACAAGUCUAAUAUAACAUAGUUUCUCCAUUUCCAGCUAAAUCAUGGGGAAAUAGGAUGUGCUCUUCUCUAUGUCUAUCUAAGAGAGGAAAUAAAAAGGAAGAUGUAGAGAAUUCCCAACAAGAGAGCAGCUCAAUGUCAGGUAAAGUUGGGUAACUAUAAUGUCCUUUGAACUUGAAGUGAACCUUAUCACUUCUCAUGGAUGGUGUCUCCACCCUUAAACUGUAAAAUACAUCUCUUAAAUAGAGAAAAUAAACCUAAACAUAAGCACACAAGCAAAAAAAAUUUUCAUUUUCACUAUUUUGAAAACAAAGAACAAAAUCUAUUACCAAAUAUGUUUUCAUUUUUCAUUUUUUUAUUAAAAAAAAAUUGAAAACUGAUAAUUAAGGGCCCAUUUGAUAACCAUUUAAAUUUUAGUUUUAAGUUUUCAUUUUUUGUGUUGGAGUAUAGAAGUAAAAGAGAGAGAAUGGAAGUGAGAAUGAGAGUGGAGAUGGGAUUGAGAGAAAAUAUGAGGAGAUGAUGGGAAUGAGUAACAAAAGUUAAAACGAAAACUAAAAAUUGAAAUCUAUUUGAAAUUGUUUUCACUUUAAACUUUUUGUUUUCACUUUUAUUACUCCUCCCUUUCAUCCUCCCCUUUCAUCAUAUCUCUCUCAAUUUCAAGUGGUUAUAAUUUCUUCGUCUAAUAAGUAAACAUGGAAAAUAAUAAGUAAGUAACAUUAAAUUUUAGCAGUAAUGAGAAUCCCUUGAUUUUCCCUAUAUCAAACUCCCCUAGUCAGAAAAAAUUCAUCCUCGAAUCUGAAUUUUCGUUGACUCCAUGAUAAUCUUGAAAUUGAAAUUGAAUAUAAAAACUCUGAAUAUUUAUGCCUUAAAAUUUUAUGUGAUCACAACUGCACACAAAGUGCAUCUUGUCAAGGUCAAUAAUUCAAUUAUAAGACAUUACGAAUACAUUGAUAAAAUGUUAAAGACUAUGUGCAACUUUUUUAGCAUUGUUUUCCUUCCUGUUUUUCAAAUUGUAGCUAUGAACCAACGAGAGGAAGAUGGGAGAGAAAGUCGUCCCAAUUAUAUUUACUCCUCAUGUGUUGAGUUUUUCAACUUAAUCACAGCUGUCUUGGUAGCGAUCAACGGUGAGUACUAUCAAGGCUUAUGAGCAAGGCUUGGAUUCUUAAAAGUAAGGAGGAGUCUUCAAAGAAAAUGGAAUUUUGACACUUGGCAAAUUCCAAAACAAAGAAAAUUAAAAGAAUUUGAAGGGAAGAAAAAAAAAAGAAGUCAAAAUCCCAUUUGUCUUAAGAGGAGCUCCUCCUCAAUUUUAAGGAGCCAAUUGAAAGAAAAUAAUGUCAUUAAGAAAAAUCAAUUGCACAUAUUUGUUUGAAACCCCCUCAGGCAUGCUAAAGUUGGUUUUAAUUUAGCAUGUCAUCAUUUGUAUUUCUAGCAAUUUGGAGGAUAGAUAAAAUCCAGGACGAGAAAAGGCGACAUAUAUGGGCUACUCAGGUCAUGAAUCAAUUGGUUGAGCAUAGUAAUUUAUACAAGAACGUACAAAGUUCUGGAGAAGCUCCAGACGAAAAAGAUAAAUUUGGAGAUGUUCCUGAUCCUACCGAAUUUGGAGAUGUUCCUGAUCCUACAGAGAAGAAAGGCAAUAAAGAAGAUGAGAAGAAGGAUAAUAUAGUAGAUAAGAAGGACAAAGAUAAUAACUUGGGAGAUAAGAAGACUGAUAAAGAUAAUUUGGAAGUGAAAAAGCAGACACCAAUAUUAAUUGCAGCAAAGAUGGGAGUGAGUGAGAUGGUGGAAAAAAUCCUAGAAAAAUUUCCAGUGGCUAUUGAGGAUGUGGACUCAGAAAACAAGAAUGUUGCACUGUUGGCAGUCGAGAACAGGCAACCCCAUGUUUACCGUUUCCUAGUGCACAGUAAGAAAAUCACAAGCUUAUUACGUCAGGUGGACAACAAUGGUAACAAUGCAUUGCAUCUUGCUGCUAAAUGUGGAGGUCAUCGGCCAUGGCUUACUCCUGGUGCCGCACUACAAAUGCAGUGGGAACUUAAGUGGUACAAGGUACGUACGGUAUAUAUCUAACAAUAAUCUUAUUUGUUUUAAUGAAGCACCAUGUUUGUUUAUUUUAUUGGUCCCAAUUAUAUGCCUUAAUGAUUUUCAAUUUGCAUGAUUCGAUCUAUAAACGAAGAUUUGGAAAAUAGACGAUUUUGAUUGUUUCGAAUAAAAUUAUUUCAACUAAACACUCAAAUUUUAUAAUGAUAAUCAAAUAGUGAAAUUGUUUCUUUUUCAAUUGAGAUUUAACUCAAACUAAUAAGGUCAUUAAUUGAACAGAUAUCAAUCUUUGAAUAAAGUUUUAAAUUAUCUAAAUUUUAUUGUGCAUGGAUGCAGUUUGUCAAAGAGUCCCUGCCACCUCGUGCAUCUGUUCGCUACAACAAAGCAGGUCAGAUUCCACAGGAGAUCUUCACAACUUCACACAAAGAUCUUCGAAAAGAAGGCAGUAAUUGGCUCGUCAAAACCUCCGAAUCAUGCUCUGUGGUUGCUGCGCUCAUUGCAACAGUUGCCUUCGCAACAUCAGCAUCUGUACCGGGCGGACUCGAUGAUAAAACUGGUUCACCGGUUUUCAAAGACAAGCCGGCAUUCAAUGCCUUCACCAUCUCAUCACUGCUUGCUCUCUGCUUGUCAGUAACUGCCCUGGUCUUCUUUCUGUCCAUUAUUACGUCUCGAUACGAAGCACAUGAUUUUUCCAUCAGCUUGCCCCGGAAACUUUUGCUGGGUUUAACAUCACUCUUCGCAUCCAUAACUGCCGUGUUAGUCUCAUUCUGUACUGGCCAUAUUUUUCUCCUUGAUCGACAACUCAGAUAUGUGGCAUAUCCAUUAUAUGCAGCGACUUGCUUGCCGGUUACCAUUUUUGCUCUUGCCCAGUUGUCCCUCUACUAUGAUCUCAUAAGGGUCAUCUUCAGAAAGGUUCCACAGCGCAGCUACAAGGAAUAUAGACACUAAUUAAGUAGGACUCGAUCAUCUAUUCGACGCUAUAAAUAAAUUGUGUUUUUCAAAGUGUGUGUGUGUGGUUUUAUUUAUUUAUUAUUAUUUAGGAAACAAGUAUUAAUUGGUUUGAGUGUGUGUGGUUUGAAACUUGUUUCCGGAGUGAGGUGAGGCUUUGUAAGAAGUGUGCCCCAAUUAAAACCAAGUCAUAUGAUGUAAAACCCAGCUAAGAUAUACGUAUGUUCAAGAAUAAAAGGGUGAAGAAAUAAACAAAGAUUUUUUUUUACAAAUAAUGCCUGAUCUCAUAAUUAUAUGCCAUAUGCAUGAUGACAUAUAUUAAAAGAUAAUUAAGCUAGGGUUAAUUAGGGUAGUACUUUUACCCUGGCAGACCUAAUACUACUAUAUAUAUAUAUCCAUGUAUGAUAUGGAAUUUGAUUAAGGAAAACUUGAUGCUUAUAGCAUUAUAACUAAUGGUGGUACGUAAUUUCUUAACACCACACCACACAAUAACAUGAAUCCAUAUUGACAUAAAAGCUAGGUCCAGUUUACUAACAAGAACAAUGUACAUAAAAGAUUCUCAUAAUUUUUAAUAAAAUUUAAUUUUCGGCAUAAAAUUUUAGUGUUAAAAGAGAGGGAGCUAAUUUUUUUCACUCCUCUUUUAUUAACUUACACUUUUUAUUGGAAAUUGUAUGUUCCCACUCUUCUUUUGUCCAUGUACACUCCUUUAUAUCUUAUAGUAAAAAGUAUUUUAAAAAAAACAAAAUGGCUUCUUAUUUUUGUGUCGAAACAAAAGGGAAUGUAAAUGGAAAAAAAAUAGUUGAAAAAUGAGCACCCAAAAGAAAUAUUAAUUAAAAUUGAAAUGAGCUUUUCAAAUUGCUUUGUUGUGUGUCCAUGCAAAAGUUUUGUGUAUUUUUUAUUUGCAUUAUACUGAUAUUCAUAUAGUAGUUUUUUUUUUUCUUUUCAAAAUGCUCAUAUUCUGUAUAGUUAAUAAAUAUACAAAAAACGAUAAAUAAAAAAAAUUAGUCCUUGCUAACUAUAAGAUAAUGACUUAAUUAUGAUCAAUAAAGGAGGAGUAAUUCGAACUUAUGACCUCUUUGGAUAUAUUGAAAAUAGGAAAGAAAAAUGUUAUACUAACUGCUUGUUUGGCAUUACUUAUUUGAGGCCAAAAUAACUUAUUUUACUGUUUUUGACUUGUUUUACCGUUUUUGACCCUUUCCUUAUGCACGUUACCAUGUUUCUAUUAGUGUGAAUUGUGGGCUGUAUUUCAGCUGUUUGUUAGUUCAUGUAAGGCUAUAUAAUAGUCAAAGGUUGCUAUUCAAUAAUAAGUCAUUCAAUCCAGUUCUUGCGUUUGAGUUCUCUGUUUUCUUGUUCCCAUUCCCAAUAGGUUCGGUUCUCUCAAAAAUUUAAAUUCAAAACUGGAUCAGAUCAGACCAGGCCCAGCCCCAAUUAGAAGGCCUCUAGUGUAGGAGAAUGCACACAAGUGAUGACCAGGAGGAAUGAAAAAAAAAAAGUAGUAUUCUAGUACGUGCCAGCUUUGUCUUCCUCUGUUGGACAACAAGUAGGAGGAUGAAUGUGACAGGAGAUCAACAAAGUGAUAACUUGAUAUGUUUAAUGUAAGAAUAUAUUUCAUGAGUGUCAUCGAGAGCAGAGCACAAGCAUAAGCAUGCCUUUGCACAAUUUAGCUUUUGAUUGCUUUUUGGGUACAAUUGGGCUAGCUAGCUUUGGACUUUAAACGUCGUCAUUUUGAAGUUUCCUGUUACUUUAGACAAGUACGAUUAACUUGACAGGAGAACACAAUGAUAACUUGUUAUUCCAACGUAUUUCAUGAGUCACAUUCAGAGACGGACCUACUCUUUGACCAGUGACUUUGUCUUUUUUAGCCUAAACUAACAUACCCAUCCCACCCAAUGAAUAGCCAUGCACUCUCAUAAUCCCCCCUUCGCCUUUUUUUCCUCUUUUUCUUUUUGGUACAAAAGGGGCCAAAGGCCAAACACAAACAACUCAUGCUUCUUUUAUUUUUUGUUCGAAAACAAUCCCUCUUAUUUUCUAUUUUUUUGGUAGAAAAUAACCCCCCUCACUCCACACAUACUGUAGAAAAUAGAAAAGAAUUAUGUACUAUAUGCGUUUUUUUUGAAAGGUAAAGCUCAUUAUGUCAUCAUGAUUAGGUAUUGUCUUUUGUUAUUAAUGAAUUUCACUAUUUACUGUCAAAUUUAAUAACUAUGUGCGUAAAGUAAAUUUAACUUAUCCUAAUUUGAGAUCUUAGGUUCGUUCCUAGUCACAUUUCAUGAGUUUUACUUGUAUUUGGAGAAACUGACGUCCAGCACAAGCAUGCGCUUUACGAUUUCGCUUUUGAUUGCUUUUAUUUCCAUCUCUUUUUGUUUUAUGGUAUACAAGGUUUUUAUCGCGCUUGGAGUUGGAUGGAACAAACAAAGAGCAAUUAAUUAAUGCCUUUCCUUCUCAGAAAAUAUAUGAUAGUAAGUAAGCGCCUUUGGGGAAAAUUAAAUUUUUUUUUUAAAAAAAAACUAGGAUAAAGAAUGAGCACAAAAUCCAAGAUAUCUUUUGUCCUGAGUUCUCUGCCCUUUUUUUUUUUUUUUUUUUUCUGAGCAGAUGCUUCUAGAAAAAAAAAAAUAGAAAUUAGUUAUUAACCAAAGUUAGUUAAUUGGACAUAAUUAACCUCUACUCCAUCAGCAUAACAUAAGUAAUAGUGAACAAUAUUGUAUAAAACAAAUUUCAAAUUCAUGCACCACUAUAACUUAAUAUAUAGCGCAAUGUGAUUUCAUGAUGCAAACUAUAUAUCUAUUUUUUAGAGCCUCCCUUUAAACAUCAUUCUUGCAACAACAAAAACAAAAACAAAAAACAAAACAAAAAAAAGUAAAAUUGUAAAUAUCUUACUAGUCACUUAACUCUAAUGAAGGAUAAAUGGAUGAACACUGAGGUUUGAAUAAAAACACUAAAAUAAUCAAUUUUUAUCUUUAAAAGUAAACUUUAUUAUAAAAAAAAAAAACACUAUUAAUGAAUGUAUAUGUGUAUAUAUAACAAUUUUCUACAGUGGCGUCACAAACGCUUUCUUUGCUCUAUAUAUAUAUAUAUAUAUAUAUAUCACGUAAUCAUUAGACUAGCUAGUGCAAGAGGCCAGACAUGGAGAGAGUGGUGGAUAGAGGGGGGGAAGUGGAGUACCUGUUCGAUAAUGCCAUGAAAGGCCAGUGGGGAAACGUUGUGGGGGCCUAUAGAUCAUCAGAGAAUGUUCAUGAUUUGUGUAUCACCAAAAUGGGGGACACUGCUCUACAUAUCGCUGCUUUCGAUGGCGAAACAGAAGUUGUGCGGGCUUUGCUGGAGGUCAUUAAAGAAAAUGUAUCCAAGAUAUUGCAAAUAAAAAACAAGAAAGGCAACACACCUCUCCAUUUAGCUGCUGAAGUGGGGGAUGUGGUAACGUGUCAUGCAAUGGCCACCAAAGACCGCAAACUCGUGUCUUCUCGCAACAAUAAGAAUGAGACUCCUCUCUUCUUGGCAGCUCUUAACGGGCAUGAGAAAGUUUUUCGUUGCCUUCAUAGUCACUGUGAUGAUGAAAGAUGCUAUUCAUUUAGAGCAAGGAAUGGUGAUACCAUUCUCCAUGCAGCUAUGUCCGGUGAAUACUUCAGUAAGUGUGUGGCCUACCCACUUCUUCAAGAGUGUUGCUAUUUGUACCAUCAUAUUGUUGACCACAUCUUAAAUUGAUGGGAUUUAUUUCAACAAAAUGAUCAAUAAAUAUGACACAAAUAGCAUUAUUAUUACUUUUUAAAUAUAUAUAUAUUAUAACUUAAUAUUAAUUUUUAUUAUUAAUUUCCUUUUUAAAUAUAUAGGUUUGGCAUUCAAGAUCCUUCUGUGGCACCCAGAACUUGUCAAUUAUAUUAAUCAGAGUGGCUUCUCUCCCCUGCAUAUUCUAGCCAAUACUCCAUCAGCAUUCAAAAGCAGUAGCCGCCUUAGACCGUUGGAUCGUCUCAUAUACCAAUGUAAGAUUACCGCUAUCGAUUUUAUUUUUUUAUUUUUUGGUCUAUGAUCAAGCUUUUGGAUGUUUAAUUCAUGUAAUACAAUGCUAAUGCAUUUGCACUUGGCAGUUUCAUGUCUCACUUGGUAAUUACUAGGCUUACUUGGGACAAAAUUAUCUAAAAAGAGAACUAUGAUGAUAUGACCUUUUUAGAAUUGUAAAAUUGAGAGGCCAAAAUAGAAAAUACAAGUAUACUCUAUAUCUUGCAACUGUAGAGACCUUGGUAUAUCUUGCAACUGUACUUCUGUCCAAAUAAGUUUUUACAUUUCAUUUAUCAGGUUUGAUUGUUGAAGAGCUAACAGGGGGAAAAAAGGACGAAAAUAGUAUUUGUCCCCUCGAGAAAAGAGGAAGAAAUACCAUCGAUACGGGUUCUGAAUCUCAUCAAGCAUUAAGUGAGUGCUCGUCACUUAUCCAAUUUAUACGUUGCUUUUUCAUCACCACAAUUCUAAUAUAACAUUGUUUCUCCAUUUCUAGCUAAAUCAUGGGGAAAUAGGAUGUGCUCUUCUCUAUGUCUAGCUAAGAGAGGAAAUAAAAAAGAAGAUGUAGAGAAUUCCCAACAAGAGAACAGCUCAAUGUCAGGUAAAGUUGGGUAACUAUAAUGUCCUUUGAACUUGAAGUGAACCUUAUCACUUCUCAUGGAUGGUGUCUCCACCCUUAAACUGUAAAAUACAUCUCUUAAACAGAGAAAAUAAACCUAAACAUAAGCACGCAAUCAAAAAAAAAUUUCAUUUUCACUAUUUUGAAAACAAAGAACAAAAUCAAUUACCAAAUAUGUUUUCAUUUUUCAUUUUUUUUUUAUAAAAAAAUUGAAAACUGAUAAUUAAGGGCCCGUUUGAUAACCAUUUAAAUUAUAGUUUUAAGUUUUCAUUUUUUGUGCUGGAGUAUAGAAGUAAAAGAGUGAGAAUGAGAGUGGAGAUGGGAUUGAGACAAAACAUGAGGAGAGGAUGGGAAGGAGGAGUAACAAAAGUGAAAACAAAAACUAAAAAUUGAAAUCUAUUUGAAAUUGUUUUUAUUACUCCUCCCUCUUAUCCUCCCCUUUCAUCAUAUCUCUCUCAAUUUCAAGUGGUUAUAAUUUCUUCGUCUAAUAAGUAAACAUGAAAAUAAAUAAGUAACAUUAAAUUUUAGCAGUAAUAAUGAGAAUCCCUUGAUUUUCCCUAUAUUAAACUCCCCUAGUCAGAAAAAACUCAUCCUCGAAUCUGUAUUUUCGUUUACUCCAUGAUAAUCUUGAAAUUGAAAUUGAAUAUAAAAACUCUGAAUAUUUAUGCCUUAAAAUUUUAUGUGAUCACAACUGCACAAAGUGCAUCUUGUCAAGGUCAGUAACUCAAUUAUAAGACAUUACGAAUACAUUGAUAAAAUGUUUAAGACUGACUUUUGGAUGCCCAUUAAUUUCAAUAUGUGCAACUUUUUUAGCAUUGUUUUCCUUCCUUUUUUUCAAAUGGUAGGCAUGAACCAACGAGAAGAAAGUCAUCCCAAUUAUAUUUACUCCUCAUGUGUUAAGUUUUUCAACUUAAUCACAGCUGCCUUGGACGUGAUCAAUGGUUCUCCGCGAAGCAGUCAGUACUAUCAAACUUUGUGGUGAAUUCGUUAAUUUAUACUUUCAUUUAUGAGCGACGUUUGGCUUCUUAAAACUAAGAAGGAGCUUAUCCUCAAAGAAAAUGGAAUUUUGACACUUGGCAAAUUCCAAAACAAAGAAAAUUAAAAGAAUUUGAAGGAAAAAAAAAAGGGUCAAAAUCCCAUUUGUCUUAGGAGGAGUUCCUCUUCAAUUUUAAGGAGCCAAUUGAAAGAAAAUCAUGUCAUUAAGAAAAAUCAAUUGCACAUAUUUGUUUGAAACCCCCUCAGGCAUGCUAAAGUUGUUUUUAAUUAGAAUGUCAUCAUUUGUAUUUCUAGCAAUUUGGAGCAUAGAUAAAAUCCUCGACGAGAAAAGGCGACAUAUAUGGGCUACUCAGGUCAUGAAUGAAUUGGUUAAGCAUAGCAAUUUAUACAAGAAAGUCAUACAAAGUACUGGAGAAACUCCAGAAGAUAAAGAUAAAUUUGGAGAUGUUCCUGAUCCUACCAAAGUGGAUCCGGAGGAGCCAAGUCAUACAGAGAAGAAAGACGAUACGGAAGAUAAGAAGAAUGACAAAUUGGAAGAGAAGAAGAAGGACAAAGAUAAUAAAUUGGAAGAUAAGAAGACACCAAUAUUAAUUGCAGCAAAGAUGGGAGUGAAGGAAAUGGUGGAAACAAUCCUAGAAAAAUUUCCAGUGGCUAUUGAGGAUGUGGACUCAGAAAACAAGAAUGUUGCACUGUUGGCAGUCGAGAACAGGCAACCCCAUGUUUACAGUUUACUACUGGACAGGAAGAAAGAAAUCACAAGAUUGUUACGUCGGGUGGACAACAAUGGUAACAAUGCAUUGCAUCUUGCUGCUAAAUGUGGAAGUCAUCGGCCAUGGCUUACUCCUGGUGCCGCACUACAAAUGCAGUGGGAACUCAAGUGGUACACGGUGCGUAUAUAUCUAACAAUAAUUUUAUUUGUUUUAAUGAAGCACCGUGUUUGUCUAUUUUAUUGAUCCCAAUUAUAUGCCUUAAUGAUUUUCAAUUUGCAUGAUUUGAUCUAUGAAUGAAGAUUUGGAAAAUAGACGGUUUUGAUUGUUGAAAAAAUAUUCUUAAAAGCAUCCAUAAUGGACUCCCUAAAAACACCCCCUUAGACAAAUUUUAGGGAGGAAUUGAAAAAAUACAACUCUAACCAUGCUUCCUAUCCACCUCCUAAAAUAGGGAAAACUCUAGGAGCUCCUAAAUCUGAGAAGAUAGAAAAGACUCCUAGUGGCUCCCUAUAAUUUAAUGUUGCUUUGUCAUGAUUGCAGAUUUUAAACUUUUAAUUAAUGCAAAUAUUUUUUUAAUAUUUUUUUGUAUGGAGAUGAACCAAUUAUAUUGAAUUAAAAAAUAAUUAUAGUAUUGAUGACUCUCUAAAUUAGGGAGUAUGAUUGGAGUUCAAAUUUUAUAGGGAGCUCCUAAAACAACUUUUGUGUGUUUUUACCUAAAUUUUAACUAAAAAAUAGGGAUCAUGAUUGUAGAUGUUCUAAGGGACCCUAAUGGGUGUCCUUCGAAUAAAAUUAUUUAAGGAAUCCCUUAUUAAAAAGGAAUAUAUCAGUUUCGAUCUCUUGAAUCACAUAAGUCUAAGAGAUUGUGGUCACCCAGCGUUGGAUAUUAAUUUAAUGGUUCAAAAAAAUUUAUUAAAAGGAGUGCAAUAGUGAGUGAACUUACAUUCAACGGUGAGUGACUACAAAUAUCUUGAAUCCAUGCAGUCCAAAACAUCAGGACUUAUAUAUAUAUAUAUAUAUAUAUAUAUAUAUAUAUCACUGAGAAGGUCAUUAAUUGAACAGAUAUCAAUCUUUGAAUAAAGUUUUAAAUGCUCCAAAUUUUAUUGUGCAUGGAUGCAGUUUGUCAAAAAUUCCAUGCCACCUCGUUCAUCUGUUCGCUACAACAAAGAAGGUCAGAUGCCACAGGAGGUCUUCACAACUUCACACAAAGAUCUUCGACAAGAAGGCAGUAAUUGGCUCGUCAAAACCUCCGAAUCAUGCUCUGUGGUUGCUGCGCUCAUUGCAACAGUUGCCUUCGCAACAUCAGCAUCUGUACCCGGCGGACUCGAUGAUAAAACUGGUUCACCGGUUUUCAAAGACAUGCCGGCAUUCAAUGCCUUCACCAUCUCAUCACUGCUUGCUCUCUGCUUGUCAGUAACUGCCCUGGUCUUCUUUCUAACCAUUAUUACGUCUCGAUACGAAGCGCAUGAUUAUUCCAUCAGCUUGCCCCGGAAACUUUUGCUGGGUUUAACAUCACUCUUCGCAUCCAUAGCUGCCGUGUUAGUCUCAUUCUGUACUGGCCAUAUUUUUCUCCUUGAUCGACAACUCAGAUAUGUGGCAUAUCCAUUAUAUGCAGCGACUUGCUUGCCGGUUACCAUUUUUGCUCUUGCCCAGUUGUCCCUCUACUACGAUCUCAUAAGGGUCAUCUUCAGCAAGGUUCCACAGCGCAGCUACAAAGGAAUGUAGACACUAAUUAAGUGGGACUCGAUCAUCUAUUUGGCGCUAUAAAUAAAUUGUGUUUUUCAAAGUGUGUGUGUGUGUGUGUGUUUUUUCUUCUGAGGAAACAAGUAUUAAUUGGUUUGAGUGUGUGGUUUGAAAUUUGUUUCCGGAGUGAGGUGAGGCUUUUGUAAGAAGUGUGCCCCAAUUAAAACCAAGUCAUAUGAUGUAAAACCAAUAGAUUAUUAUUGUUUCCGGAGUGGUACAAAUAGAUUAUUAUUACUUCUUUUAUAUAUAUAUAUAUAUAUAUAUUUUAACUGAAUAUCAUAUUUUAUUAUUAAUUUCCUUUUUAAAUAUAUAGAUUUGGCAUUCCAGAUCAUUCUGUGGCACCCAGAACUUGUUAAUAAUAUUAAUCAUAGUGGCUUAUCUCCCAUGCAUAUUCUCGCCAAUACUCCAUCAGCAUUCAAAAGCAGUGGCCGCCUUACACUGUUGGAUCUUCUCAUAUACCAAUGUAAGAAUAUCUCUAUCGAUUUUAUUUUUUAUUUUUUGGUGUUUGGAUGUUUAAUUCAUGUAAUACAAUGCUAAUGCAGUUGCACUUGGCAGUUUCAUGUCUCACUUGGUAAUUACUAGGCUUUCAGGGGACAAAAUUAUUAAAAAAGAGAACUAUGAUGAUAUGAUCUUUUUAAGUAUGCAUACAUCAUACAUGUACUUGUUUUUUGAAGAGAAAAUAAAAAUAUAUAUAGUUGUUUGAUCAUUAUAAGGGUAUUAUAUUCAUGUUUCCAGAAGAAAAACUCAGUCUCUAAUAAAAGUAUUCCAUACAAUCAAUAAAUUCAGGGACGGAGCUAAAAUUGUAAAGUUAGGAGGGACGAAGUAGAAAAUACAAGUAUACUCUAUAUCUUGCAAUUGUAGGGACCUUGGUUAAUUACUCUAUACCUUGCAACUGUAGGGACCUUGGUUAAUUACUCUAUACCUUGCAAUUGUACUUCUGUCCGAAUAAGUUUUUACAUUUCAUGUGUCCGGUUUUUGAUUGUUGAAGAGCUAAAAGGGCAAGAAGGUAACAAAAAUAUUUAUCCCCGCGGCCAAAAAGAAAGGAAUAUCGACAAUACGGGUUCUGAAUCUCAAGCAUUAAGUGAGUGCUAGUCACUUAUUCAAUUUAUACGUUGCUUUUUCGUCACCACAAGUCUAAUAUAAUAUAGUUUCUCCAUUUCCAGCUAAAUCAUGGGGAAAUAGGAUAUGUUCUUCUCUAAGUCUAGCUAAGAGAGGAAAUAAAAAGGAAGAUGCAGAGAAUCCCCAACAAAAGAGCAGCUCAAUGCAAGGUAAGUUGGGUAACCAUAAUGUCCUUUGAACUUAGUGAACCUUAUCACUUCUCAUGAAUGGUGUUAUUCAUGAUGUUUUCUAUGGAAAACAACCCUUAAACUGUAAAAUACAUCUCUUAAAUAGAGAAAAUAAACCUAAACAGAAGCACAUAAGCAAAAAAAAAAAAAAAACAGCUCAAUGCAAGGUAAGUUGGGUAAUAGGACUUAUGUUACAAUUAGACCCCAAAGUAGCAAGGCAACUAGUCAAUUACCUAGACUGAUUGUCACUCACACUGCGACAAAAACUGAUGAGGAGUUGCCGGUCCUCCAAAAACUGUAAUGUACCAGACUUGAAUCAUGCUUCCAAUUUUAUAUCCAAAUUGAGAGCCAAUUCACCACAAAUAUAUCCCCAACUGCACCAAGUGCAUCUUGUAAGAGUCAAUACGUUGAUAAAAAUAUGUCCUUUGGAUGCUCAUUAUUUUAGCAUUGUUUUCCUUCCACUUUUUCCAACUGCAGGUACAAACCAACGAGAGGAACAGGGGAGACAAAGGCAUCCCAAUUAUAUUUAUGCAUCAUUUGUUACAAUUUGCUACUUAAUCACGGAGGCUUUGGUAGAGAUGUAUCGUUUUCUGCGAGGAUUUUUGGGUGAAUACAUUUACACUUUCGUUUAUUUAUACCAAUAAACUUGGCCAUAUAUAAAAUAAAAAGCAUCGUUCUAAUUGAAAGAAAAUUAAUGUAAUAGAGAAAAAUCAAUUGGACAUAUCUAUAGAGUGCUUUUAAUUGACAAAUGUCAUUUGUGUUUCUAGGAAUUUCGAGCAUACAGAAAAUCCACCAAGACAAAAGGAAACAUAAAUGGGCCACUCAGGUCAUGAAUAAAUUGCUUGACCAUACUUCAUACAUGUAUGCACAAAAUCCCAAAGAAACUCGACCAACAGAUGAAUCAAAAAUGACACAAGUUCCUAAACCUCCCGAAUUAGAGAAGCCCGAAUUAGAUACGAAGAGGAAGAAGGACAAAACCGUGGGAGAUAAGAAAAUGAAAAGGCAGCUGAUGACACCAAUAUUAAUUGCAGCAAAGAUGGGAGUGAGCGAAAUGGUGGAGAAAAUCCUAAAAAAAUUUCCAGUGGCUAUUCACGAUGUGGACUCAGAAAACAAGAAUGUUGCGCUCCUGGCAAUUGAGAACAGGCAAUCCCAUGUUCUCAAGUUACUGCUGAUGAAGAAAGAGAAAUCAAUCGCAAGCUUGUUACGUCAGGUGGACAUCAAAGGCAACAAUGCAUUGCAUCUUGCUGCUAAAUAUGGAAGUUAUCGGCCAUGGCAUACUCCAGGUGCGGCACUGCAAAUGCAAUGGGAACUCAAGUGGUAUAUGGUAUGUACACUGCAACUGAUAUUCAUUGUAAAAAAAGGAAUAGGCUGAUGUUUUGAUUCAACCAGCAUACUUUCUUAUUACAACAUCAAUCAUAUUUAUACAGUGGUGAUCCUAGAAUUAAGGAAAUCAUCAAGGAGCAAAUACAAGAAGUCAGCUGUACUACUAAGGCAACAAAUAUACAGAAUCAAUUGUAAAUCAAUCAACCUAAACUAUAGGGAUUUUGGUGAUAUCUCAACACUCCCCCUCAAGUUGGAGAGUGGAUGUCAAGAACUCCCAACUUGCACAGUAUUGUUGAAAAUCCUUCUUUUCCUAAAGGCUUUGUCAGGAUGUCCGCCACCUGUUGUGAGGAAGAAACAUGUUUUGUAACUAUUGAACCAUCUUGGAUCUUGUCUCUGAUGAAAUGGCAAUCCAUCUCAAUAUGCCUUGUUCUUUCGUGAAAAACAGGAUUAGCAGCUAUAUGUAAUGCAGCUUGGUUGUCGCAAUGUAGUGUGACUGGUUCUGAAUGUGUUAGUUGCAAGUCUUGUAAUAGACACCGCAACCAAGAGAGCUCACAACAUGUGCUAGCCAUGGCUCUAUAUUCAGCUUCCGCUGAAGAGAGAGAUACAGUCUUCUGUCUCUUUGUCCUCCAAGAGAUCAACGAGUUUCCUAGAAACACACAGUAACCUGUGGUCGACCUACGAGUCGUCGGACACCCCGCCCAAUCAGAAUCACAAAACGCCUUCAACUUUAAGUCAUCUUGUGUUGGAAAGAGUAUUCCUUGGCCUGGAGUGUUUUUAAGGUAUCUCAAGAUUCGAACCGCUACAUCCAUAUGUGGGAUGCGUGGCUCAUGCAUAAACCUGCUGAGCACAUGUACACCAUAUGUGAUAUCGGGCCGUGUGAUCGUCAAGUAGAUUAAACGUCCCACGAGUCUUCUAUACUUGGCCGGGUCCUUGAGUAUCUCCCCUUCAUUUGAGAGCUUGAUGUUUUGUUCCAUGGGAAAACUUACUGGUCGUGCUCCCAAAAUACCUGCAUCUUUGAGAAUCUCCAAGGUGUAUUUCCUCUGGGAGAUGCAUAUACCUUGCUUGGAACGGGACACUUCAAUCCCUAAAAAAUACUUCAAAUCACCAAGGUCUUUGAUUCGGAAUCGAGUGUGCAAAAACUGUUUGAGAGAAUUAAUCGCAGCUACAUUAUUUCCUGUAAUCAGAAUGUCAUCGACAUAAAUUAAGAGAGCUGUAAAAGACUUCCCAUUUUUGCAAGUAAAGAGUGAAUAAUCAGCUUUGGAUUGGGUGUAGCCUGCAGCUUGUAUGGCUUCUGAAAACUUUGCAAACCACUGUCGAGAUGCUUGUUUUAAACCAUAUAGAGACUUGUUGAGGCGACAUACCAAAUUCUCCCCUUGUCGCCGACAACCAGGAGGCAGAGACAUAUAGAUUUCCUCAUGGAGAUCCCCAUGAAGAAAAGCAUUGUGCACGUCAAGUUGUUGAAGUGACCAAUUUUGGGCAGCGGCAAGAGAAAGAAUGCACCGAACAGUAACCAUUUUUGCUGUGGGAGAGAAAGUGUCGUGAUAGUCAAUGCCCUCUGUCUGGGUGUACCCUUUAGCCACCAAACGAGCCUUAUAACGCUCAAUGGAUCCGUCUGAGCGAUGCUUGAUUUUAUAGACCCAUUUGCAACCAAUGGGUUCUUUGCCAGGAGGAAGAGUGGUAAUGGUCCAAGUGUGAUUGGACUCUAAAGCCUGUAGUUCCGAAUCCAUGGCUUCUUUCCAAUGAGGAUCAAGGGCUGCCUCUGCAAAAGAAUGGGGUUCCAUGCUUCUACUAAUGUUGGCAAUAAAAGAGAGAUGUGACGGUGAAUAGCGCCGGUAAGACAAAUAAUUACAAAAAGGAUAACGAGUACCUUUAAGAUGACUUGGCGAGGAAGAUGACAUAGGGUCAUGUGGGGGCAUCGUCACCUGUGAACAAACAUAAUCUUUGAGAAGAACAGAAGGUGUCUUAUGGCGAUGAGAUUGUCUCAAAGGUGGUGCGGAAACUGGUGGUGGAGAAGAAAUUGGCAAUUGUGGCUCUAGGGUGAUAGGCGGGUCAUGAUUUGGAAAAGGGGGUGUUGGUGUAUCUGGAUUGGUGGUAUCUUGGUUGUUGAUAUCUUGGCUAGGUGAUGGGCUAAGUGGCGUAUCAUAAAUAGGAAUAGGUAAGACAGAUGUUGUUGUGGUGGAAGAUUGGUGUGCCAGUGAUUGAUGUGGGAAAGAAUCCUCAUGGAAAAUGACAUCUCUACUAGUGAAGAGUUUGUGAGUAUCAAGGUCAUAUAAUUUAUAAGCCUUUUGUCCAAUGGGGUAGCCAAUGAAAAUACAUCUCUUGGCACGGGAAGCAAAUUUAUGAGAUGGGUUGAUAGAAGUUGCAUAAGCGAGACUACCAAAAACUCUCAUGUGUGAAUAAGAAGGAGGCUUAGCAUAUAGCAUCUCAUAUGGGGUUUUGUGUGAAAGAAUAGGUGUAGGGAAUCUAUUGAUUAAAUAAGUGGCUGUGAGCACACAUUCACCCCAAAAAUGGAGUGGGAGAUGAGCUUGAAAACGUAAUGCCCUAGCCGUCUCAAGAAUAUGCCGAUGCUUGCGUUCCACGACACCAUUUUGUUGUGGUGUGGAAACACAAGAGUGUUGAAAAAUGAUCCCAUUAUCCUUGAAAAAAGCACGCAUAGAAAUAAACUCUCCCCCAUUAUCCGCACGGAUGUUUUGCACGUGAGAAUGAAAUUGGGUUUGAAUAAAAGAAAAAAAGGACUUAAGUAGACUCUGUGUUUCACUUUUAUGGUGCAUGAGAAAAAUCCAAGUGAACCGUGAAUAAUCAUCAACCACUGUUAAAAAGUAACGUGCCCCAGAAAGGGAGGCAAUUUUAUAAGGCCCCCAAAUGUCACAAUGAAUAAGAGAAAAAGGCUUCGUAGUUGAAAUAGAACUAGUAUUGAAAGGUAAACGAGUUUGUUUGGCCAAUGGACAAACAUCACAAAUAUUAUUUGAAUGAAAUGGAAAAUGUAACAGAGUUUUAGCCAUGAAUUGUAAACGAGAUGAAGAUAAAUGGCCCAAACGCCGAUGCCAUAGAUGGGUAGAGGUGGUGACAAGACUGCAGGAAGAUGGAGGUAUGGGAGAAUAAGGUUUGGAAUCUGAGGUUGCAGAACCCAACGCCACAAGGUGAUAGAGACCCCCACUUUGUUUACCCAAACCAAUCGUCAUCUUCGUAGCCAAGUCCUGCAAAAUGCACCCAGUAGGAAAAAAAGUUACUGAACAAUUCAAUCCUUUUGUAAGUUUGCUUACAGACAUAAGAUUGACCUUGAAAGAAGGGAUAUGUAAAACAUCUCGUAAAUGAACUUGUGAAUUUAAAGAUAAAGUCCCAGUAGAAGAGAUAGGAGCCUUUUCACCGCUAGGCAAGACAACAGGUGGCAUUGAAGAAUUUGAGCAUUUAGAAGUAAGUGAAUGCGAAGAUGAAGUGAUGUGAUCGGUUGCCCCACUAUCGAUUAUCCAUUGAUGUAAAGGCAAACUCGACCUUGACAAACCUGAUGACAGAGCAGCAGCGUUUGCCUGGGACGGUCCCUGGUCAUUCAUCUUCUCAUUCAUCAUGGAAAGCAUUUGUUGGUAUUGUGUCUCAGAAAGAUUAGGUACAGCAGCCUGUAAUUCUUGCAAGGUGGGACUAGAAGUCACAUGGUUAGCCGAGAAGGAUGCAGCCCCAUGCUUGUCACGAUUGCCAUUCCCAUUAGCUUUCUUGGACUUAUGGAGGCGGUGGCCUGGGGGGUAACCAUUCAGUUUCCAGCAUGUCUCAACAGUGUGAUGGUCAACGUCACAGUGUGAGCAAUGGAGAGGCUUACGAUGUGGAUUGGAAGUUCUUUGACUCUGUCGAACCGCCAUGGCCGCAGUCUCUACAACGGGUCGGGAGGAUCCCAAUUCCCGUUGUUUCUCUUCUUGGGAAAUUAGGGAAUAUGUCUUGCGAAAUGCAGGCAAGGGUUGCAUGAGCAAUAUUUGUCCACGAGCCACAGCAUAGGACUCGUUGAGUCCCAUGAGAAACUGCAUAAUUUUGUUUCGUUCUUCUUGUUCAGCAAGAGUCUUCAUUGCCCCACAGCUACAAGGAGAGACAUUGUUGUACGAUGCUAAUUCAUCCCAGAGACCUUUCAACUUUGUGUAGUACGCAGCGACGGUCAUCUGAUCUUGAGUAAGUGAAGCUAUGUCACGCUGGAUUUGGAAAAUCCUGGGUGCGUUGCUUUGGGAGAAACGUUCCUCAAGGUUUUGCCAGAUAUCAUGGGCUGUGUCUGAAUAAAUCACGCUAUCGGCUAUAUCUUGUUCGAGUGAGUUCAGGAUCCAAGAUAGGACCAUGUCAUUGCAGCGCCGCCAUAGGGAAAAACCUUCUGGAUCAGUCUCCACUGAUGGUCUUUUGACAGAUCCAUCGACAAAACCAAGUUUAUUCUUGGCACUCAGAGAGAUCUUGAUGGAACGACACCAUGUCCCAUAGUUAUCUCCAUUCAAAAGCUUGGAAACGAUGACCAUUCCUGGAUGGUCUGAAUGAUGAAUAAAAAAAGGACUGGAAGUAUCGUUAGUGCUUCCAUCCUUGGAAGAAUGUUUUUUGGUUGAGUCGUCAGCCAUGAUAGAGAAAGAGGGACGGCUAUGCAGAAAAGAGAGCUAGGGUUGGGAUCCCUGCUCUGAUACCAUGUAAAAAAAGGAAUAGGCUGAUGUUUUGAUUCAACCAGCAUACUUUCUUAUUACAACAUCAAUCAUAUUUAUACAGUGGUGAUCCUAGAAUUAAGGAAAUCAUCAAGGAGCAAAUACAAGAAGUCAGCUGUACUACUAAGGCAACAAAUAUACAGAAUCAAUUGUAAAUCAAUCAACCUAAACUAUAGGGAUUUUGGUGAUAUCUCAACAUUCAUCGAUCUAUCAUCACUAGGUAACCUAGGCUUUGAUUCUUAAUCUUUAAUUAAUAUCUUGUCAAACUCGGCUCAAACAACUAAGGUCAUUCAACUUGAUCGAUCUUUUAAGCGUACUGUACAUAGUAAAAAGUUGAUAGUAAAUGUCGCUUUUCCGCUUCAAACUAAUGUUUUCUUAACUACAACCCCUCAUCUUAAUUUUUUUUUUAUGAGAAAACCUAAUUUAUUGUAAGUAAAACCAAGUGACUAAGAUCCAACUCACCAAGUUACCUAAUUAAGCUUAAAUUUUGAUUUCUUGUGCUUUUCAUAUUCCAAAAGUACCCAUUAAAAUUUAAUUUGUUGACUACUCACACAUUAAUUGUUUAAAUUUCAAAAUGUUUGGCAGAUACAAUCUCAUGAGUAUUAAACUUUCUAGAGUUAAAUCUCUCUAUGAUGCAUGCAUGCAGGUUGUCAAAAACUCCAUGCCACCUUGUUCAUCUGUUGUCCGCAACGAAAAAGAGGAGAUACCACAGGAGAUCUUCACAACUUCACACAAAGAUCUUCGAAAAGAAGGCAGUUAUUGGCUCGCCAAAACUUCCGAAUCAUGCUCUGUGGUUGCUGCGCUCAUUGCAACAGUUUCAUUUGCAACAUCAGCAACUGUACCAGGUGGACUAAAUGAUAAAACUGGUUCACCGGUUUUAGAAGACAAGCCAGCAUUCAAUGCCUUCACCAUCUCAUCGCUGCUUUCUCUUUGCUUGUCAUUAACUGCCCUGGCCCUCUUUUUUUCGAUUAUUACGUCUCGAUUCAAAGUAGGAGAAUUUUCCAUCAGCUUGCCUCGGAAACUUUUGCUGGGUUUAACAUCACUCUUCGCAUCUAUAGCUUCCGCGUUAGUCUCAUUCUGCACAGGGCAUACGUUUCUCCUUAAUCAACAACUGAGACACGUGGCAUAUCCACUAUAUGCAACAACUUGCAUUCCGAUCACAAUAUUCGCUCUUGCCCAACUGCCCCUCUACUAUGAUCUCGUACAGGGAAUCGCCAGAGAGGUUCCACAACAGACCUACAUGGAGUAACAAGGACUCGAUCAUGUAUUGGCUUAUUGGCGCUACAAAUAGUGUUUGUGUUGUGUGUGUGUAUUUUUGUUGUUGAAACAAGUAUUGGUUUUAGUGUGGUGUUUGAAAUUUGUUUCCAGACUGGGGUGAGGUUUAUGCGUAAGAAGUGUUUUUCCUAAUUAAAAAGCAAGUCAUAUAAUGUAAAACCUAUUCAUUCUAAAUAAACUUAUUUGAAGAACAUAUUUCACUUUGCCCUUGAAAGUUCAAAUGACUCAUUUCAUCCCUUUGAUUCAAGUUUGUUGUUCCAUUUUGCCCCUUUACAGUUAACUCUAUCCAAAAUUCUGUUAAAAUUGAUAACGUUGUAGGGAUAUUUUAGUCUUUUUGUAUACAUGGGUUAAAGAUAACAAAAAACAAAAUGUCUCCUUCUCCGACCCACCCCACCCAUCCGAGAGAUACUCUCAUGCAACGGGGAUACCACUUUUUGUUAUCCCCGAUUAAUAAAACAAUGACAUAUGAGAUAACUUUUUCACGUGUCAUUGAGAUAGCAAAACACAAAACAUUGUUAUAACCAUUACAAAAAAAGAUAUUCCCCAUUCCCGCCGCCACAACCUCAACUUUGACAUCCAACCACCACCCAACCAUCGCCUUAGCCAGAGCCACCACCCACCCCUCCCCCUCGGGGUGAAUGCAUAGAGGGACAAAUGGGGUCAAGUGACCCCAUGGCAGCCGGCAAAUCAACCGUGGAGGUCUCAAGCGACCACAAGCCUUGCUAGUGUGUGACCCCAAGGCACACACUAGCUGAAAAAUGGGGUAAAGUGAGACAAAAUGAGUUUCAGGAGAUAAAGUGAGACUUAAAUACACUUUCAUAGGGUAUAUCAAAAAAUAAGCCUUGGGCUUGUCCAAUAUAGGUCCUUACAAUUUCUAUUUUCUAGACAUGCGCCCAUCAUUCUAUAAAUCUAUGUGUAAAACCCAAUUUCAAACUUAAAUGAUAAGUAGGAUAUAAGAGGUCAUAGUAUUCUUAUGUUUUUACAUCCUUGCCAUCAGAUUUCAUAUUUUAUUUAUAAUUUAUUCCAUGCAUUUCAUUAACUGCCAUAAUUGUAAUUAAAACUCCCUAUUAAUAGCAUAUCAAUCACCCCAUUUCUUUUGGUUGCCAUUCCCUCUAACAUAUGGCCCCUUAAAAUUGCAAAUAAAAAAAAUAUGUAAAUUACAUAUCCAAUAAUGUACAUAUGAAAAAUAUAAACAUAAAUAUAUACGCAUAAAAAUAUAGAUAAAUUAUUUACCAAAAAAAAUUAAAAAAAUAGGUCAGUUACUUUGUAAUUGAAAUCUUCGUACAUUUUUCAUAAAUUAAAAAUAGGUGCACAAUAAUUUAUAAAAAAUAGGUACGUUGUAUAAUUGAAAUUUAUGCACAUUUUUUAUAAAUUAAAAAUAAGUACAUUAUUUAGAAGAAAAAAAUAAGUUCAUUAUGCUAGGUAAAUUGUUUUACUAGGUAUACAUUAUUAGAGGGGAAAAAAAUAGGUACAUUAUUUAGAGAAAAAAAUAGAUACAAAAUUUAGCGGAAAAAAUAGGUUCAUUAUACUAGGUAAAUUGUUUCACUAGGAACAUUAUUAGAAGAAAAAAAAAUAGGUACAUUAUUUUGAGAGAAAAAAUAGGCUCAUUUAAAUAAAAAAAAUUGGUUUGAUAAAAAAAAUAAUAAAAAGAUGACCAAAUUAUUUUUCAUAAAACAAGUAAUAAAGAAAAAAAAUAAGUACAAUAUUUGGAGAAAAACUAGGUAAAUUGUUUUACUAGGUACAUUAUUAGGGGAAAAAAAAAUAGGUACAUUAUUUUGAGGGAAAAAAUAGGCUCAUUAAAAAAAUUGUUUUCAUAAAACAAACAUAAAAAUAUGAUCAAAUUAUAUUUCAUAAAACAAGUAAUAAAGAAAAAAAAAAAAAGAAGGUACAAUAUUUGGAGAAAAAAUAGGUUCAUUAAAAAAAAUAUUUUUAAAACAAAACAAUAAAUAGAUUAUCAAAUUAUUUUAAUUAGAAUAUACACUAUUAUUCAUAAAACUAUAAUAAAAAAGAAUACUGGUAGUAUAAUUCAUAAAAAGAAAACAACAUUAAUUUCUAAAUUUAAUGUUGAAUUUAAGUUACUAAUACUUUAAAUAGAUUACUAGUGGUAAUUCAUAGAAGGAAAACACCAUUAAUUCUAAAAUAGAUUACUAAUAUUUUAAUGUGGAAUUUAAUAUUUAAUUUCAAAUAAGUUUCUAAAUUAGUUCUUACAUCCAUUACAACUAUUUGGAGAUCUUUCCAAAUUCAACGGGUGUCAUUAGUUACACCCCUUAUAAUACAUUAACUUAUAAAUAGGGGUAAUUUUGGAAUCCCAAAAAUACAAUAAAUCAGAUUUUAAGUUAUAUUAAGUAACUUGCUUAGUUGGAUCCUAUUCAUUGUGUAUUAUUUGAAAAAAUUGGGUAUUUUAAAUAAAAAAUUAAAGGAAAGAAUAGUAGGUGAUUUUAAAUGAAUUUUAUGGAUAUAAGCUCAAUUUAUUAUAAAAUAUACACUGGGUUGUUUUUGGGUGGUGGUGUAUUUUGGGGUUUUUCUUCAUUUCCCCAUUUUUUUUAAUAAACUGAUACAAAAUACCAUCAAUUUUCUUUUCGUGGAAAAUAAAAGCGCACCAUUAUAGGAAAUUUAGUGUUACAGGAGGAGAUCAUAACAAAAUCAUAACGUGCUUGAAAUCAGUUCAUCAGAGUAAAUCCGAAGCUCCUACAUAUACAGUAGUGACAAAAUCAUAACGUGUGAUUCGACCGGAUUAAGAUGAGAGAAGUCGGUGGCAGAAGAUGGCGCCGUAUCGCCCCCGGGAGCUGCCCGAAGCGGCCAAGCCUGUCCAUUUCCUCAACGCCUUCACCUUCAUCCCUUAACGGCACGCAGACUCAUUAAAGAUAAAACCGUUCUCUCUCAUUCCACAAAAUUAGGAAGAAAAAGAAAGUUUCAGAGUGCAAAAAUCGUUCACUCAAUUCGGUGAGUCAAAAUAACUCUCCAUAGCUUUCUGUUGCUUGUUGUUACUCCAAUCGUGUUCAUGUUUGAUUGAUAUUAUUGUUUGCAUCUCACUCUCUGUAGUCUAUAUUAUAUUAUAUUGUCUGUUGUUUGUUUGAUUUUUUCCUCUUUUUUUUAGGGUAUUAAGAAUUGUUUGAAUUUUCUUGGAAAGCACUGAAAUUUGGAGUUUGAUUAGGUCAUUUGAAUGGUGGUAGAUUCAAGAUCCAAACCUCUGAUAUAUUUUAAUUUCUUUGGUUCAUUAUUGUUCAUUGUGUGCUAAAUGAUAUCGGAAACAUACCAAAAUUUUUAUUUUUAUUUUCAUUUUCUAUUGAAUUAGUGUUUCGGUGUUCGAGCAGAGGUUCAAUUGUUUGGUUUGGUUAGCUGCAUCAGUGAUAAAUGAUUUUUCAGGAAAAUGACAUGCCAAAUGAUACAUUCGUGGAGGUUUAACGAGCUAGUGGGUGCAUUUCUUGAUCUUGCAAUAGCCUAUCUUUUACUUUGUGCCGCAGCUGUUGCCUUUUUUACCUCCAAAUUUGUGAGUGUGUUUGGAUUGUGUCUGCCAUGCCCUUGUGAUGGGUUUUUUGGGACCCCCAGGAAAAGUCACUGCUUUCAAAGGCAAUUUGCGGAUGUCCCAUGUGAGAAAAUCUCUGCAGUUCAAUGGGCAGUGAAGAGCAAGUUCCCUUUUGAUGUACUAUGGUCUGAAAACUCAAAUAUCAAUUCUAAGUCCAAGUUCGUAGAUGAGACAUAUUAUGAGAAUGGGCAUUUUGAGUUUGAAGGUGAAGCGUCAUGUAGCUCAUUGUCAGAAAGGAGGUUGCUAGAUAUGGUUGAGAGUGAUUCAGUUGCCGAGAAUGACCAGAGUGUUGAGUUUGGUGUAGCAAACUUGGAAACUGGAAAGGAACAACAUUUUGAACUUAAGCCAAAGAAGGUUUCAGGUCGAAGGCCGAGACUUCGCCGCCGCCGCCGCCGCAGAGGGGGCUCUGUUGAUUAUGGAAAUCCAGUAUCAGUUUCAUCAUAUGACGUUUUCUACUCAGAUGCAGGGGACAUUUCUACAUCUCCUUCCAGCAUUAGUAAAAUGGGGAAUGAGGUUACUGAAGUUCUUGUCAAUUCAGGAGGUGAUAGUCAUUUAAUCGAAAGCUGACUAUUGAGUUGUAAUGCUGUUUUAGGUUUUCUGGUGCCAAUUGCUUUCUUAUAAUGUACUUCUAAGGCAUUGUUUAGAGCCAGUAAAUUAAUGCUGAAUUGCCUGCGUAGACUUCAUAAGUAGUACCUUUUAGAGAGAUGACAAAGGGGGAAAACAGUUGGUACUUUUAUUUUAUUACUAAAACAAUAUUGUUUAUAACAAAGUGGUUGCCACGUAUAGCAUGUGAACGAAAUGGACAUUUAUGGUUCCAUGCUUUUCUUGAUGCCCAUGGCAGGAAUAAUGUGGUAGAAUUGAACCUUAUGCCAUUUUUGUUAUGUUUUCAAACAUUUGAAGAGAUAUUUGUUACAUUUCUUUUUUAGAAACUAACAUCUCUUACAUUUUUUUUUUUCCAAAAAAGAAACAGUAUGAGACAUUUGCUUCGUAGUAGGAAAUUCAUAAAUAUUGAAUUGGAUCUUAGUUCUAAACUAUAGAUUUACUCUGAGAUAUUACCUUUCAAGAUUGAGUUUUGAGGUGUUUUCCUUCAGCCAAAUUUCACACAUAUUUGUGGAAACUAUUUUGAAAUGAUAUGUAAGAUCUUGCAGACUGAUAUCAUUGCUUUAUUUCUGGACAUGUUAUGCUAAUAUUGCCUUCUUUUUGUUCUGUGGAUGCUUGUGUACUUUUAGAUUGCACUGAAGCUCCUACAUAUAUUAGUUCGCCGGAUAGCGUUUCACGUCCUGAGUUUAAAGAAUCUAUGGAUGAAACUAAACCGACGGGUAAGGAUGGAUCAGUUGUUGAAGAUUCUGGGUGCAAUGCAGGAGAGAAGCUAGGUUUUGACAGUAAUGAGACAACUACUGUUAGAGUACUGGAACAGGCUCUUGAAGAAGAGCACGCUACUCGUGCUGCUCUCUAUCUUGAACUGGAGAAGGAGAGAAGUGCUGCUGCUACUGCUGCAGAUGAGGCCAUGGCCAUGAUAUUGCGCCUGCAAGAGGAGAAGGCAUCAAUAGAAAUGGAGGCAAGGCAAUAUCAAAGGAUGAUAGAGGAAAAAUCUGCUUACGAUGCUGAGGAAAUGAACAUUCUCAAAGAGAUCUUAGUUAGGAGGGAGAGGGAAAAGCAUUUCUUGGUGAAGGAAGUUGAAGAAUUCAGGCAAAUAUUUUUUGGAGAAGAUCAAGUGGAUUUUGACAUGCAUGAUGUGGCUACUACACAAGCACAAAAGCCUGCACUGCGUUCAAGUGAGGAUCAGGUACCCAUGCUGCAGUGGGCGAGUGAAUCCAUCACUGAGGAGCCAAAGCUGGAAAUGAAACAUAGUUCUCCAGAUUAUGAGGUUCCAUCAACUGAGAUAAAAAAUCUUACUCUUACUUUUGGAAACGAACUACCAAUUCCGGACUUGGAGGGAGAUGUUGACUCUUUGAAGCAGGUUGACAUGCAUUUGCAUCCAAGCGUUGACAGCCACCCACAUUUCUUAGAUAGUACUGAUGAUAUCAGUCAUGAGUUUCAAGAAAAAGGAGUGGUGUCUAUGGAUGAGAAACCAGUUUCUCAAGGAAAAUAUGUCCAGAGGCUAGAGGUAUAUCAACAACACAGCCAGUCACCUAAUCCCCAGGGACUGGGUUUGCAUAAAAAUAUUGUACCUCCCAUUGAGCAGGAACUCAAUUUAGCUGGUAGCACUAACAUACGUGAAGGGUUGGCUUCAAAGACAUCUGGGAUUGGUACUGAAAAUAGGACUUCUAUUCUGUACAAUAAUGAUAAUAUAGACAAGCAUGGGAACAACCAGGAUGAGGGAAGCAAAGAUCCACGUAGCACAGUGUUUAAUACACAGGCUGGUGUUCUCGAUGUUCAUGUUAUUGAUGACAAGUCUCAUCUGUGUAAUGAAAUGAGUGCUGAGAAAAGUGAACAGCUACCAGCGAAUGCUACCUUAGACAUUUCUGGAAAAUGCGAUAUUCCAACUACAACUGGGUUGAAAACUCAGCGUAAAAUCCAGAGAGUUAGUUCAGACACAGCUAGUGUAUUGCUAACAAUGGGUUGCCCUCGAGGCAGAUCUUUACCUUCUGAUAUGCGGAGAAAUUCCAUGUCUGCAAUUGAUUAUGAAAGAUUUAAAAUUGAUAAUGAAGUCGAGCGGCUUAGGGAAAGGUUAAGGAUUGUGCAAGAGGGAAGAGAGAAGCUCAACUUCUCAGUGGGGCACAGAGAAAGGGAAAGAAUUCAGCUGCAACUUUUGGAAGAUAUAGCAAGCCAGCUUCGAGAGAUUCAGCAGUUAACUGAGCCGGGAAAGGCCGAGUGCCAGGCUGGAAUGCUGCCUCCACUAUCUAAGGUGAAUUGUCAGAAUUUGCAUUCUUUUCUCUCUGCAUUGACUAUGUUGUUCCCAAUAAAUAUGUGGCAUACAUUAUUAUUUACUAUUUUAUUUUGUUUACCCUUGUUUCUUCUGUUAACUAGUAUCUAGUAAUAUCUUAAAUGAUAUUCGUCUGUGGCAUACUUAGCCAGCUGGCUGCAUUUAUGUUGCUGGCUUUUGUCCAGUUGCUAGAGAUUGUAAAUUGUAAUUAGCUCUUCUGGUGUAGCAUUGUAGGUCUUGCUUAUAAGUGCUCUGUUGCAAAUUAAAAUAUUACAAGGGAGUGGUUUGAUGAUAGAUGAUGAGAGGCUGGAGAAAGAGGUGUACCUGCGUAGGUGUUGCUUAAUAUUGCUUUUUGCUGAAAAUUAGAAUUGAGGCAAGGGUAUCGUUUGAUGGUAGCAUGGAUAAAUAAUGAGAGGCUGGAAAAAGAAUGGGUCAUUGAUGAGGAGUUUUUGUGGACCUUCAUGUCAUAAUUUUUUCUUCUUUUUGCAUGUGUUUGUGCGCAUAUGUGAAAAGUUAAUCCUUAUCAUAUUAUCAGAUUACAUAGAUUUUAGUGAUCGCCAUUUUACCGUCUCUUUUACAUGAAUGGCUGUUGCUGACUGCUGAAAACUAAAUUUUCAGGUUAUGUCCAAGAAAAGACGAUGGCGAACUUUACCUCUACAAGUGCAUAGAAGUACUUAAAAGGGCGGGAGCUGUACUCUCAUAUAAGUAACAGAGCUGGGAAGCUGGUAAUUUUGAUGGGAAGCUGGUUAUGUUGACUUUCAGACAAUGCAGGGAAGCGCUUUCAGCUUAGCAACACUCCUACCUAAAUGUUUCUUCUGGCUGGUUACCUAGUUUUCACUUGACGCAUAAAUAGAGAACAUCCAAUAAGUAAUGCAGGAUCCCCUUUCAUGGGAGUCUGUAACAAACAGGAGGUGGCUGGAUAAUGGUGAUUAAAGAAUACAUUAGUUUCUUCUUGAUGGUAUAAGAUUAUGAUUUUGGCCAUGUUAAAGCACUGUAGGUUCCAUUUGAAAAGUAAUAUUCCAUCAUAAUAGUUCCCUUUAUCUUGGGUCAGCUGGGUGAUAGCUUUAUUUAUAAAUGCAAGUGUCCCAUGACUAGUUUUUUUCUCUCCAAAACAAGGCAAAGGCUGCCCCAAGUGUCGAAGCAUCAGUUUUGGUUUGUGUUGGGAUUUAUAAUUUGAUGCAGAAAACCCUGCUUUUCGUUUUUUUCAGGAGACGAGAAACAAACAAGGAACCUGUUCGACUUUUAUAUUUUUCGCUUUUCAGAUGGAUACUAUUUAUUUAUUUGCCUUCUGCUUUUCAGUUAAUUACUGUGUAACAGAUUGUUUAACGGCUUUUGAUGCUAUGUAUACUGUUGGAAGCCUGCCCGGCCCAGUCCCCACACCACACGACAAACAAAACUUUAUAAUCUCUGAUCUGUUGACAUCACGAACUUCGUUCAGCAGAAGGUUUUCUUAGGAAACUAACUUGGCCAAGUGAUGAAUUGAUAUAGACAUAUCAUGAUUUUUAUUUUUGAUAAUUGAGGAGGAAGAAUCGAACACAACCUUGAUGGAGAAGAAUACCAUCUUAAUUAUCGGAUGAAAUACCAUCUUAACUAUCGGAUGAAACUAUAUAUCGUUUUAAUCACUUGAGUUGCAAGCAAGAUAUCGGAUUGAGCAAUAUAAACUUUAAAGUAUACUGAGUUCUAAUAAAAAUGAAACUGUGGCAUUAUAUUUGGUAAACAUUAUUUGAUAACGUUAAUUUGAUGAGCCUAGCGACGAUCUUAGAAAUUGCAUUUAAUAGGAAUAGAAGAACAGGGCUCCAAUUACCAGAGGAGUGCUGCAAAUUUCGUCCAACAAGCAUUCCAUUAUAAAAAGGAAAAUGCUACAUAUCCUUGCUUUUUCUCCCUACUUUUAUAUCCCAACCUAUUUGGCAUUUGUUAAGCAUUAUUAUCUCAUUGCAUUGAAAAAACAUGGGGGUGGUGUAGAACCGUAGAACUCAAUGAGAGCAAGGAUGCCAAUGUCCACCGAUAGCCCGACAAUAUUUCCAACAAAUCCACAGAAUAAAUAAAUCUUGAUUUGUCUGGAAAAAAAAUAUAUAUAAAUCUUGAUUUGUGAAGGUCGCAAGUUUAGCAUCUUCCUUAAAGAAAAAAAAAACACCCUCGAAUGAAAAUCGACCAUCUUUGGCAACUCAUGGGAACAUAUAACUGAACCGUUGAACAAAGUAAAUACAAAUUUCUGCACCACUUACCAUGAAACAAGUAACGAAAUUUGGAAAGCAUACUAACUUAAGCUAAUACAAGGCAAAUUUAUAAGUUAAAUAUAGAAAACUAUACUCGAAGCAAAAGCUUUGCUUUGAUAGAAAUAAACAGUCAGUCCUACUUGGUCAAAGAGAAUUUAAGCUGUCUUCAUUAGCUAUCGAGUCUUCCUGUCUAGGUUAGAUUACUACCUAAGCUUUCUUCUUUUUCACCACCUCAUUCUCAUGCUUCCUCAGAUGCAUACUCUCAUCAGAAAACAUCUCCAUGUCCACAAUGCUAGGCACCGACUCCAGCUCCAGCUUCUGCAGAUGCCUCUACAUCCAGAUCCUUCUUUUUGCAGCUAUAUCAUCAUCAGAAUCACUUAUCUGUUUUGCUAGAAUUACUCUCAUUGCUCUCAUCUGGUGUUUGUGGGGAGUCUCUCGGCUCGGUUUCUUCGAUCUUUGCAUCGGAUUCAACCAUGCUUGGAUUGACUUCAGGAAACCGCUGUUGUAGUGGCACUGCAUCACUAAUGACCUGACCGGCUUUCAACCUCUCCCGGUAAUCCUCCAUUUCUAUUCGAUAUCGUUCCUUAUCUUUAACGGCUUUCUCCUGAUACACCUAAGAUUGCAAAAGUGUCAGUGCCUGUUGAAACUGUUUGGACAUGAUAUUGUAUGAGUUGAAUUCUUAUAAUAAAAUUAUUGGUCCUUACUGAUUUUUCAGACUCCUUCAAUUUAUUCCAGAGUUCACCAAUCAUUCUACUUAUCUCUCUAUCCUUCCCAGGAUGAAGUGGCUUCAGCCUUGCAUGCUGUUCUGCAAAGAAAAAGUUAUAUCCGCUUCUGUUGGGUUUUGGAUGAGCAGGAUCCCUCCUUUUAAUCUCAGAUUUCUUCCUUCGGCGACGACGGUGGACGCCAGGAAUAAUAGCUGAGGCACUCUCAUUUCUGUUAACCAACAUGCUAUAAUUUUGUGGGACUUGUGGAACUCCACGUACUGGGUUCAUUGGAGCCUGAUAAAGUACACCUCUUAGCUUCGUUGAGCCUUUGAUGACGGUAACAAGAUAUCCAUUUUCAAAUUUCCCAUCAAUAACCCCUGUCACAGUAUCUUCUGAUGAUGCUGUUGUCCUGGCUGCAACAGGAAAUGUUACAGGAGAACUAUAAGUUAUACAUCGUUAGCAUUUACCCAAAGAAAAUAUGUGAAUCAACCAAAAAUCAGUCUUAGUACAAUUGAAGUGCAACAAGAAUUAUAGUUCUGUUUUCAUUCUCAGAACAUCCCAACAAGCAAAAAGAACUAAUGGAUAUAAUAAACUCAACGGAAAUUUCAGAAAGAGUGGCAUUGGGAAGAAAGUUCCAUGCAGUACUGAAAUGAAACAAAAUCAUAACACAUCUAGUUUCCUACCAGUUCUGAAGUAAGUCAAAAGCAUUCUCCUACAGAGUCCGUAUAACUGAAGUGAUUUCCUGUUUAAAGUAUCCAAAGCUCAUUCUCUACUAAGUAAAUUAGAAAGAGGAAUAUGCAACAAAAUCAUUUCUUUCAAUGCCAUAUAAGUCUGGGUAGAUUGAAGACUUUGUUCAUACUGAAUUUAUGCAUAACAGUUUAACUGCUAGAACAAAAUGUGAAAUGGAAAAUAUAAAAAACAAUCCUCCAAACCAAAAAUUGCUCCAAAGAAAGGUUUCUUCAAAAAAAUAAGAGGGGGAGGGGAAAAUAAUAAGGAGAAGCACCAAAUCAGCAAGACUUUCAAAUGCAGUACUAAACAAGCCUCUACAACCCCCCACCCCAAUUUUUUUCCACAAAAAAGAAAAGAAAAGAGAAACUAAGCUUGAAAGAAGAAAAUGAAGGAACCUCCAGGUAAUUCUGAGUUUAUCUGUGUUGGCUGAUGCAUAGUAGCAUGAGCUUCAGCUGCUUUUCGUUUAGUUCCUCCCCUUGCAGCUGGAACGGCUGUCAUUGAAGGGCUGUGAGAAUUAUCUGCCAAAAAAAUUGUUGCGUUAUGAAAAUGCACUGCUCCAAAGAACUUAUUCAAAUGAAAGCUACAUGUUCAAUGGGCACACCAGAAGAGAGAGGAUUCCAUGCUUGAGCUUUAAAAUAGUAAAUUUGUUCAUAGUGGAGAAGCAAUGAAUUAUAAUAUUUCCGCAACACAAAAGAAGCAUUUGUAGCUGUGGAUGGAAAGUUGAAAACAGCGGUAACUUCCUUCCAUCUUCUAUCUCUAAUAAUCUGCAAACUCCAUUGGACUACAAAAUCAGUGAACUAUGUAGUACUCCUCUUUGGAGAACAAGAGAAACAAUUGUUAAAUUAAUUAGGCACCCCUUUCCAACUUUUAAGAAAAGACUAGUCAUAAAUGUAAAAGUUCACAGUUCUAACUUCCAUCUACAGCCUCAAACUAUCACAUGCAGCCACCAGGUAUCAGAAAAGUAAGUAAAUAUGAGAAACACAGACUAACAUGAAACUUUAGACAGUCUAAACACACAUUAAGAUUUUCACAAGGAUUGAAGCACUUCGACGGAUUGAUUACUCAUACCAUACCCAGAAUCAGAAUCAGAUACAAACAGAGGCCAACACACACACACAUGUAUGCAGAUAAACAUAUAAUAAAAGCAAUUAUUACACAACUCUUAAAUCCAGCAUGAAUAUCUUGCACACCAUUGACCGUUAUAAGAUUAAUUUAUUUUUUUGGUCAAAAGUUAUAAGAUUAAUUUAUAAGCAAACUAACUGAAAAGGAAAGCACGCGCAAAUUCGAAUAAGCACAUAACCUUUAACUUUCAAUGUAAUGUAUGUAAGGUUUGAUGUGACUAUUUAAAUGUAGAAUUUCUUACCUUCUCAAUACCCCCACGGGAAGUUACCUCCACAAAGAGUCGAUGCAAAUCUAGCUCUUUUCCUCCUAUAAUAGGGAUCCUACAAUUACAACAGAGACAACGUCAACAGCAGGACAGAAACUCCAGAAUUAUAAGACAGAUAGAGGACAAAAGAGAACACACAUGCCCAUAAUAGGUACUCCACAAUGUGCGACAAAAGCACAAGCUACUUCUACCUUGCAGGCAUGCUACCCUGCCUAGCAAUAUUAUAACACACAAAAGAGUGGUUUUGUCAAAAAGUUUAUUGAGACGGUACCUAUAAAUCUACAUGACAAAUACAUAGCUCUAAUAUUUGUCAUGCAAACAACACCUCCCCAGUCCAAUGCAAGUCAGCCUUGACUUAAAAUUAUAAAUUAAAUUUGGAGGUCGUCAACUAUAUUGGGGAGAUAUGCUAUUGGACACUACUGAUCUACAUCUACUCCUCCACAACACCACAUCAAAGCAUUCCGUCUGAAAUUGUCAAUUUCAUGAAAGAGCAGUGAGUAGACUCUGGAAUUUAAAGAUGCUAAAAAGGCAGCCAACGCUUUUCAAUGCUGAAACUGAUAUGAUGGUUGCCAACAAUAAAAAAGCAAAUGACUGUUUAACCAUUAUAUCAUAAACUUGCCAAAGAGCUUGAAGUGUCUAGUGGGAUGGAAAUGUAUUCUGGACCAUAUUCAUACAGUCAUCCUAACAUUGUGCUCAUGCACACGAUCCAUCAACCCUCAACUAACCCAAUGGUUUAUGAGAUAUGCACCGGGAACAUAAAACAUCGUUGAGAAACCCCAAGCUCUUCAAGAAUUUCAUAUGAAGAUUUGGAUCUCAUCCAAUUCAAGUGAAACUCUUGAUAAUCUACCUUUAUAAAGUUCUUGAUGAUCUGUAAACCUGCUAUGUAAAGUUCACCUUCCUAGAAUUUAAACAAAUCCUACAUAACCAACCCUCAACAAAAAACAAAAUUGGUGUAGAUGUGUGCCACAUCGGCAUUCCUAUACCACAUAAGUAGGCAUCAAAUUGGCAAUAACAUCAAGGCUGAGUUAUUUCAAGGAAUCAUGAAAAGGAAAAUACUGACUUAAAUAAUUGUCACAGAAAUAUACAUAAAGAAAAAUCCUCAAAAACAAAAGUACCAGAUCUAGGAGUUGGAUAAAGUUACUUUUCAGUGAGCAGUUAGGAAAACUUUUCUUUAACUUUUCAAGUUUGCAAGAUGGAAGCAUGAUCACCUUACCCAAAAAGGGCCAUGUACCAAUUAAAUAAAAGUGCGGUCUUUGUGCUCCGUUCAGCACAAUUUAACAGAAAAUUUUGUUCGACAGAAAAGAAAAAUAUGUAAAAACCCACCAAAACUAGAUAUCUCAGAAAAAUCCAAUUACUUAAAAGAGAUUUUGGGAAAAGGUGAGAACUUGAUCGGCAUAUCAUGGAACUGGAAAUGAUGACUACGCACGAGUAACACACCAUAAAUCAAACAUGCAGACCCAAAACAAUGGAUGCAAAAUCCUUAGUUCAUGAUUCUUGCCUUCAAUAGCAAAUUUUUUUAACGUUAAAGGUUAAUUGGUACUAGCAAAAAGAUGAGAAGUUGAAGGUAGAGGAUGAAAAGAUAAAGCUUACAUGAACUUGGUUCCCAUUGAAGCAUGGAGCUUUUCCAAAGUAGCCAUGAACAGCUUAGGAUUGGCUACAACUUCCUCGUGUUUAGCAAGAGGUGCUGGGUAUGGAAGAUAGAGAGAGGAUGUGUCUUUCAUGAGCAGUGGGCUCUUGCUGGCAUAAGAUGUGGAUGCCAUUGCCAAAACCGUCACACCACAUCCAAGUCUCCCCUGCCCUUUCCUGUUCAAACAUUAACCAGACCACUCCCUACUUGUUCUUCACUGCAUAAAACCAUAAAUACAAGUGAAUAAAACAAAAAGGUUUUACUUAAAAAAUUGAAAUGAGAAAAAGAGUUGAAAAUCAACAAAUGAGCAACAGUUGUAGGUGAAACUAACUGCAUGCAAAAUGCAGGCAGGAACUCAUGAAACACAUCAAGAAUAUUGCCAAAGACACAAUCCGAACAGAUGAGAAAAAAGCCAAAAAAGUGCACAGAGGAAGAAGACAAAACUUAAAGGAUAAGUGAAACAUAAAUAUUUGUUGAAAAGAAAGAACAAAAAGAGAAACCCCAAAAAGUUUCAAAAUUCCCACCAUGCAGAUUGCAGCAGAGAGAAACUGAAAUAACAAUGAAGACCGCCUUGACGAUAACUCUGAGCCGAUGAAAUGACUCCCAGUAACAAGGGAGAGAUUCAAAGCCCAAAAUAAGCAAAAGGUGGAGCAUAGCUGUCACAGCCAUAAAUUCCAUCAGAGUACCGAGGAUGUAACAGCAAGAACCCAUUAAAAUAUCGAGAAUAAAAGCUCAGGUCUUUGAAGCACACAGAGGCUAAAAGCAGAAAACCCUUUUAGGCUAUGGCAAUAAAGACUCAGAUGAUACAAAAGUCUCUGUCUCUGUCUCUGUCUCUCUCUCUCUCUGUGAAACCAGACUGACAAGCCUAUUAUAAGCCUAUAUUGCCUUGCCUGACAUUCCAAAGAUAUCACAUAUCUAAUAAGUAGUACAAAAUUGCACAUCAAAUGGGUAUCUGCAUUUACAAUGCCCAAUGCUUUUUCCAUCUCCUUUCUGCAAAUUUCCGACACUCAUCUUAAGAAAAAUGAAAGAUUUAGAAGAUACCCAAUACCAAUACCAUGUUGGGUUUGGGGCUGAGAGUGCCCAGUGUGCCCGUCAACAAAAAUGAGCACUUUUGAAACAAGGACCCAAAACUCCACCUUUGCCAAUGAACACCCCCCUACCCUUUGAAAUUUCAAAUCAGGAGCUGUGUCCUUCCACUUUCAUGGAGGCCUAAGUAAGAAAUUGUAACACUAAGAAUUACCCUCAAUAGAAUACAAAACUAUUCAUUAUUUUAUUUGUCCAUUGUAUUCUAUGUGUUUCUAUGCUUUAUAAUCCUUUGGAUUAAUGAGGAAUAGAAUAAUAUAUGUUUGAGGAAUAUACAAUGCAUAUUGCAUAAAACCCAGAUGAAGAAAU
rnacentral:lncRNA from 1 species